rnacentral:lncRNA from 1 species
CUAGAAAAGGUUGUCGGGAGAAAGUUGGCAAGGUGCACCUGCACUGACGUCUGGAGUAGAAAGAGAUGGAGUGUGAUGAAGGGGGGCAUCUCAACGGUGGUGGCCUCACAUGGCUCCAUGUUGUUUGAAAUCCAGUGUUGAGGUCUCUCUAAUAAUGUUCACCAGUUCAACUUGGAAGCAUAGAAUGAUUGGGGUGUAAAUUCUCUAGUUGUUUGUAGAUCCUUUGAAGAACAUACUUCUAAUAAGGUAAGCAUUUUAAUUGAUAUUAGCAAUGUGUUUGUGUAGUGCCUGUAUUGACAAAGUAGACAAAUGAAAGUAUUCUAGACGUAUAAUUUCCGUAAACACCUUUUCAAAAAAUAUUUUCCGUAAACUGGGCAUGCAUAGUUGAAAAUUUUAUCCAUUGAACCCACUAAUAAACAAAACAAAUUGUCAUAUGAACCUUGAAAGCAAGCCCAUCAAAUAUCCAUCUUCCAAUUUCAGUUCAAAGCAAUAUAGAGAUAUUGGUAAAAAUUGUGACUAUAGUAUCCAAGAAAGCACAAAAGCAAAUCUAAAAAUCACAACAAAAAUGUAUCACAUGCGGCGCUAAAUUUUAGACCAUUACGACCAAUCAAGCUGGACACAACCCAGAUCACAUCUAUUCAAGGUAUUACCUGCAGCAUAACAAGCUCAGAGUUCUAAAAACACUACCAAACUGAUGUAACUUCACAAACCAGCAUAACAAGCUCACAGCCAAUGUUCUAGAAACACUACCAAAGUGAUGUAACUUUACAAGUCAGCAUAACAGUGUCACAGCCUAUGAUCUAAAAACACUACCAAAGUGAUGUCACUUCACAAGUCCGCAUAACAAGCUCCCAGCCUAUGUUCUAAGAGCAUCUCCAGCCGUUGGCCCACCAGGGGGCGCCUAAAAUCAUCGCCUGGGGGCUAGCCGGCGCAAAAAAAGGGCCUGGGGCGAGUUGGUCCCCAGUCGUCGGCCUCAGGGCCGUCCCCAGAGGCGUCUAAUUUUUUCAAAAAAAAACGUUCGCGAAGUUCGGUUAAACACGACUAAAUUUUGGCAAACUUUGGCAUAUAUUAGACAUGUUUGCGACACGCUACAUAGCAAAUAUAACUAAAAAAAGAAAUCGCUGAACGCCGAGUAGUCACCGUCGUUGCCGCCAUCCUCGCCGCCGCCGCCGUCGGCCUUCUCCUCCUUGACGCAGUCGUCCCUGCUGGACCCCUGCCCGGCGUCACCAUGGCGGACUGGUGGCGAUAGCGGUGGCGCGUCGUCAUCGCCGCUGUCGUCGAGGACGACGACUCCUCCUUUGUCGCGGCCCCAGCGGCGCUGCUCGAAGCGCCACAGGGCGGCGCACUGGCGUUCCCUCUCCAUCUUCAGGAAGUCCUCGCGCGCCCAUUUCAGGGCCGCCUCGUCAUCGAGCUCCACGUCGCCGUGCUCCGUCUUCACGGCGGGGAGCCCCGGCUCCGUUUUCACCGGCGUGAGCCCCGGCUCCGUCUUUGGCUUGACGAAGCACGGAGGAGCCGACGAGGAGGUGCGCCGGCCGCCCUCGUUGAUGACGAUGCCGGCGCUGUGAGUGCGCCGGCCGAGCGGCGUCUCCGCCGGGGGCUCGGCCUUGACGCCGAGAAGCGCCGGAGAGCCGGAGGAGUGGGAAGAAGACCGUGAGGAGGAGUGCGAGGAGGAGCCGAACCUCCUGGACAUCCAUUGCCCGAUGCGUCGGCGGUGGGCGGGGGCGACCGCCGGGGGAGGGUAUGCAAGCGGCGGGUUGUUGCCGCCCUCAAGGUGCGUCAGCACGCCCUCGAGCGUGCGGCCGGGGACGCCCCACCACACGUGGCGCCCCUCGCUGUUCUUUGUGCCGUCCAUCACCCGCGCCCUGUUGGUGGACGCCAGCCUUUGCUCCUGACGGCGCUCGAAGUACGCCGCCCACGCCGCGUGGUUGUCGACGGCGUACUGGGGGAGGGCGAGCUGCUUGUCGGUGAGGGAGGCACGCACGAGCUCUACCUCGGCGGCGAAGUAGGGGGUGCGCGCCACGGCGUCGGGCAGGGGGGGAUGGGCACUCCCCCGUUGCUGAGCCUCCACCCCGUCGGCCUGGCGCGCAUGUCCGGCGGCGUCAGGAUGGUGGCCUCGAACAGCAGCCACGACUCCUGUUCGCGGAGCGAGCGGCGGCCGAAGCCGUUGGUCGCCGCCUCGUCGCCGGGGAAAUGCUCGGCCAUCGCCGGGGCUGUCGGAGUGCUCGGAGGCGGCGCACGAGAGAGGGAGAGCUCGGCGGGCUAGGGCUGGUGUGGCCAGAGGCGAGGGAGCCAACCAGCUUAUAUAGCCGCGCCCGUGUGUACGCGUGCGCGGGAGGGGAGGCGUCGCCGCGCCGCCCCUUGACACGCCGCCCGUGAGGAAUCAAUGGCAAGGCUGACCGGCGGCGGCAGCGCGGCAGCCUUGGCAUUGAUUCCCGCGAGAACCGAGGCGAUGAGGACGACGAAGUGCCGGUCUUGCUGACUCGGCGGGCCCGUAGCUGCUUCGCGCCAAAGCAACUCGCCCCGGCGCCCCCCAGCGCGCCGGGUUCGGUCUGGAUCCGUCGGCGCUGAUUUCGGCCUAGGUCUGUGAAAAUCGGGCACCUGGGACCGCGACUGGGCCGUUUUUUCGACGCCGGCGCGAAAAAAUCGCCUGAGGAGGUCUUUCUGAGAACGCGGCUGGAGAUGCUCUAAAACGCUUACCAAAGUGAUGUAACUUCACAAGUAAAUCGAACGGGCCUAAAAGGAAAAUGUAACUUAGUGCCUAAGCAGGCUCCUUCACGGAUGGCGAACCAGGUGAAUACUACAGCCAAUCUUUCGUAUAAAAAAUGCCUCCAUGAUUUCAGAUUGCAGUGAGCUAUGGUAGCCGUCAAACUUCCUGGUGCGUGUUUCAGCAGAGAAUAUAGAGCUGUUGCUGUCACUGUUGCUACUGACAACGACAAAACAUUGGGAUAGCCAAGACACAUCCUGGGGCAUCAUUGAGAGCAUUGGGUACUCGACAAAUUUUGAUGUGCAUGGGAUUAUGGUUUAUUCCAAAUGUUGAUCUAGCCCAUAACAAACUGUUAAACAUGUGACACCGUUUCUCUGAAGACAGCCAAGAUUGUCACAUGUUACAACAGUUAUAGCAAGACCACUGAUGAAGCAAAACUGAUAAUGUGAUUUUAUAACACAACUAUGAAAUUUAGAAGCCACCCUUGCCAAAGUACAGACAAAAGAAGGGUAUCUUGGAAGUUGAAUGGGGUGAGAUGACUCCAGUACCAUAUGGUUCAAUGGUUUUUGGUGAAUUUACAUGAGAAAUAUUCCUAAAAUUUCAACCCCAACAUCUAGGAUGGUUCGAAUUCAAGCAACCAAUUACAUGGAUGGCCUUUUCCUAGGAUAUCACAUGGUACAAGCAACUGAAACACAUUCUACUAUGAAGCAGUUCAGAACGGAGUACCCUACCAAGAAUCUACCUAUCAGAAGCUUAACUCUGGCUUACUUGACGUAGCUGUUUCUGAAUUGCUUUGUGUGUUUGGCUUGCUUGCGAAGUUUGAAUUGGGUAAUAUCCUUUGUCCUCAGAAGUGCCAACUUCUUCCAAAGCUCGUAACGUCGGCUUGCUUGAACAAGCCAUUUCUGAAAUGCUUGCAGAAUUUCUACUUGACUCUCUUGCAGAGUUUGAGGUUUGGCGGAGGAUACAAAUACUUCCAGAGCAUCAAGGAAAAAUCUUUUUAUUCAGAAUAAUACCUUGCAUAUUCAUUCGCUGGAACAACUUCAGGACAAACAUCUUAUCAUUCGCCCUGGUGUAUGCCUUGUAAUGCAACCUAUGUGGAAGCAUUGGGCACUACACCAGCCGAUCUGCUUCCAGAGGCAAGCGGUUCAUGCACUAGGCAUCAAGCAUUAUUAGCAAUCACAAUACCGUACAUAUUGAUGAGACACUCUUUGGCACGUAAUUUGGUUUGAAUCCUGAUUCGUCCAGCUUCUCAAGUACAGACUCAACUUUAUCUCUAAGACUUGCUUUCCCAUAGUUUGUUAUCAUGGAAUUAAACGUCAAGUGGGUAGGCCUCUCCUUGGAUCGCAAUAAACUCUUGGACACACUACUUGCUUCCAUACACACCAAUACGGGUUGUACGUCACAAUAUUCAGCUGGCAUAUCUCCAUUCCCUCAAGAGGAUGUUGUACGUCACAAUAUUCGGCAAGUAUCUCUCCAAGUCUCCAUGCCCUUCAUCUUGUCAAAAUAGCUGAGAGCUUUCAUGAAAGCAUUACUCUUGUCUAGUGAAUGCAUAUGAGCAGUUGAGCACCGACUAGGGAAUUGUAUACCAAAGUGUCCGGCUUGCACCCGCUGUUGCACAUCUCAAAGAAGAGCCACAUGACCAUCCGUAUCUGCCCCUCUUUUUCCAUCACAUAUAUCUGCUUAGAAUAGAUGUUGUUAUCCGCAACUUACGACCGCUGCUUCUGCAUCCACCUGAAAAUCUAGCUGAGCACAAAGCAUCAGAGAAAUGAGCAGAAAUAUGUGACCAACAGCAACUCCACAAAUCAUCAAUUGCACACGGGGACAUCUGAAAAUGAUAGGUGGUUCAGAAAUUAGCUAUGUCCCCAUGUACAACAUAAGGCCCGGCCCCACCUCCUUAAAAUUAGGGGAGAGAUGAUUAGGUUAGAAAGAAAAAAGAGAAAAAGACAGCCGUAUGAUGGAGUGGGAGCAUGGAUGGAAGAAUGGGGAGGGAGCAGGCAAGCCGGAUCCGCUGAGAAGCGGCCGAGUCCAUUUGGAAUCCAUAUGGCCGCUGACGCAUUGUCCAACGUGGAUACGGCCGGUGGUCCUUGCCAUGGGCCAUGGCCAUUGAUCUCGCGAUGGUAUCAUCAUCAUCGCCAAUUUUUUAUUCGGCGCAAUCUUUUGUACUUAGUAAUAAUGAAAUUAUUACAAAAUCGUCUUCAAAAGAUAAUGAAAAUUAUUAGCAUGGUUUAAUUGCGUUUUAAGGUACGAACUAUUUUUAUUCGUGUCAAUCUUUUGGAUUACAAAAAGAAUGCGGAAUUUAAUAGCAAUUCAUCUGGAUGAGGCUCACGCCCAACAUGGAUACCAACGGCCGUCCUGACCACGCGAGGGUACUGCANNNNNNNNNNNNNNNNNNNNNNNNNNNNNNNNNNNNNNNNNNNNNNNNNNNNNNNNNNNNNNNNNNNNNNNNNNNNNNNNNNNNNNNNNNNNNNNNNNNNNNNNNNNNNNNNNNNNNNNNNNNNNNNNNNNNNNNNNNNNNNNNNNNNNNNNNNNNNNNNNNNNNNNNNNNNNNNNNNNNNNNNNNNNNNNNNNNNNNNNNNNNNNNNNNNNNNNNNNNNNNNNNNNNNNNNNNNNNNNNNNNNNNNNNNNNNNNNNNNNNNNNNNNNNNNNNNNNNNNNNNNNNNNNNNNNNNNNNNNNNNNNNNNNNNNNNNNNNNNNNNNNNNNNNNNNNNNNNNNNNNNNNNNNNNNNNNNNNNNNNNNNNNNNNNNNNNNNNNNNNNNNNNNNNNNNNNNNNNNNNNNNNNNNNNNNNAAGCAUAGGCAUUCACAUACCGGUAGAAUAAAAAUCUGACAAAAAAUAUCAGCUUUUUUUAUUCUAUCUUCAUUUACCUCAAGUUUAGUUUGUUACCGUUGAGUUCCUUUUUUGAGAGAGAGAGAGAGAGAGUCAUUAUGUCUGAACCUUGUUACACAAAUCACCAUCACUCAAGGUGUUCUAACACAAGACAUGUGUUUUCCCAAAAAAAAACACAGGAUAGGUAAUUAUGCCCUUGCAAUCUUUAGAGAAAAGAUAUUAGAGGGAGGUGAGUGUCUUCAGUUUUUUCGUCCAUUAUCAAAAUAACCCUCGAAGUUAAUAUUAUUUACCCCUGUUGCCACCGAUAAUAAAAAAUGGUUCGUCUUCGUUGUCGGGCUCAUUGCUCCUUAAUUUCAGCCUCGGGCCGCGGCCCCCUCGCGUUGUUGACCGAUUUCAAUACUAAUACAACUCGGAGCAGAGCAAAGGGAGAUUGAAUUGAAUUAAUGGAACUAUGUGCGAUAAUGAGAACCAUCGCUCACAAUUUUAGCAUAUGGAUUGUGUGAGAUCUAGAGCUACCUGAAGAUAUAAGAUCGACGAAACCUAGAGCCAGAAGAGUAAACCUGCCAUAUGCACAUACCAAGAAGGUAAAAAAAAAUAUAAACGACUCUGGAUAACCAUUAAUAAGACUCCAUUAAUUACGUCAACUAAUAGCUAGGGAGGAAAGUAUCAACAUAUAUGGAGUAUAUAUAUAAGCAAACUCAACAACAAAGAUAUACUAGUCUACUCCUUCUUCUUGGAUGCCACUUUUGCGCCAUUGUAUUGGCGAGGAUACUUCUUGCCGCUUACUGUCGGCUUCUUGGGGCCGCCGUCGUCAUUAUCACUGUCAUCAAAGUCGUCAUCGUCGCCAUCACUGUCAUCGACAUCCUCGUCGUCCUCCUCAUCAUCAUCAUCUUCUUCAUGGUUCUCCGAGUGCUCCUCCUCCGAGUCGGUCUCUGAUGGCUCCUUUGGCCCUUCCAUGAACUCAAUAUAUUCGAGGUCAUCAGAGCUGUAGAGGCUAGAGGGUGGUGUGGAUUGCGGUCCCCAUGAAUUGUCACUUACAUCAGGACUGCAGAUGUCGUCGUCACUCGAGGAGUACUGGUUCCAUGGCCCUUUCCAAGAGGCCAUGGCUGCGAUGGGAGAGAUUGCAAGAGAGAGUGUGUGAGAGCACGGGGAUGAAGAAGGAAUGCCAAUUGAAUCGAUGAUUAGCAUAUUAUAUAGGCGCAUUAGAGGGUGGUCAGAAUUUGGAUAUAAUUAACUACAUUUAGUACCACCGACUACGCACACGGUUUUGCAUAUUCACACGUGUGUUAAUCUAGGAAUGGGGCGGUUUUAAUUGGGAAUUUUAGUGUUGGUUGUUGAUUGGUUUCCUUUGGUUGGGCUAUAAUGGGCAGAAAAGGCUAACUGGGCUGGGGCGGUGUGGGUGUAGCUGAGAACGAGUUGGAUUGAGUUGGUGCGGGUUGAGGAUGAAUGAGAAAAUUGGGUUAGAUGACACCAUGGGUCAACCCGUGAGUGCACCCGCUCAACCUAGCCACACACUCCUCUUCCCGUUCCCCAGCGCUCUCUAGUGUUCCAUGGCCACAACCCUGAUACGUCCAUUUUGCAUCAUGCUUUUAUAUCGAUAUUUAUUGCAUUAUGGGCUGUUAUUACAGAUUAUGUCACAAUAUUUAUGCCUAUUCUCUCUUAUUUUACAAGAUUUAUAUGAAGAGGGGGAAUGCCGGCAGCUGAAAUUCUGGGCUGGAAAAGGAGCAAAUAUUAUAGACCUAUUCUGCACAUCUCCAAAAGUCCUGAAACUCUACAGGAAUUAUUUUCAGAAUAUAUAAAAAAUAUUGGGCCAAAGAAGUACCUGAGGGGGGCCACCCACCGUCCACGAGGGUGGGGGGCACACCUACCCCCUGGGCGCGCCCCCUGCCUCGUGGCCCCCCUGGUGGCCCUCUGAUGCCCAUCUUUGACUAUAUGGAGUCUUUCAUCGAGAAAAAAAAUCAUAAGCAAGCUUACGGGACGAAACUCCGCCGCCACGAGGCGGAACCAAUCUAGGGCUCCGGCGGAGCUGUUCUGCCGGGGAAACUUCCCUCCGGGAGGGGGAAAUCAUCACCAACGAUCCUCUCAUCAGGAGGGGGUCAAUCUCCAUCAACAUGUUCACCAGCACCAUCUCAUCUCAAACCCUAGUUCAUCUCUUGUAUCCAAACCUCAGAUUGGUACCCGUGGGUUGCUAGUAGUGUUGAUUACUCCUUGUAGUUGAUGCUAGUUGGUUUACUUGGUGGAAGAUCAUAUGUUCAAAUCCAUUAUGCAUAUUAAUACCCCUCUGAUUAUGAACAUGAAUAUGCUUUGUGAGUAGUUACGUUUGUUCCUGAGGACAUGGGAGAAGUCUUGCUAUAAGUAGUCAUGUGAAUUUGGUAUUCGUUCGAUAUUUUGUUGAGAUGUAUGUUGUCAUCCCUCUAGUGGUGUUAUGUGAAUGUAGAGUACAUGACACUUCACCAUUAUUUGGGCAUAGAGAGAGGCAUUGGGAAGUAAUAAGUAGAUGAUGGGUUGCUAGAGUGACAGAAGUUUAAACCCUGGUUUAUGUGUUGUUUCAUAAGGGGCUGAUUUGGAUCCAUAUGUUUCAUGCUAUGGUUAGGUUUACCUUAAUACUUCUGUUGUAGUUGCGGAUGCUUGCAAUAGGGGUUAAUCAUAAGUGGGAUGCUUGUCCAAGUAAGGGCAGUACCCAAGCACCGGUCCACCCACAUAUCGAAUUAUCAAAGUACCGAACACGAAUCAUAUGAACGUGAUGAAAACUAGCUUAACGAUAAUUUCCAUGUGUCCUCGGGAGCGCUUAAUUUUAUAUAAGAGUUUGUCCAGGCUUGUCUUUGCUACAAAAGGAUUGGGCCAUCUUGCUGCACCUUAUUUACUUUUACUAUUUAUCACCCGUUACCAAUUACCUUAUUACAAAACUAUCUUUUACCGAUAAUUUCAGUGCUUGCAGAAAAUACCUUGCUGAAAACCAUUUAUCAUUUCCUUCUGCUCCUCACUGGGUUCGAGACUCUUACUUAUCGAAAAGGCUACGAUAAUCCCCUACAUGUGUGGGUCAUCAGGACUCUUUUCUGGCGCCGUUGCCGGGGAGUAAAGCACCUUUGGUAGGUGGAAUUUGGUAAGGAAAAAUUUAUAUAGUGUGCUGAAAUUUACUAUCACUUGUUACUAUGGAACAUAAUCCUUUGAGGGGCUUGUUCGGGGUAUGUUCACCCCGACCAGUAGAGCAAAGAGUUGCUCCUCAACCUACUGAACCUACUGAAAAUGUUUACUUUGAAAUUUCUUCGGGUAUGAUAGAGAAACUGCUAGCUAAUCCUUUCACAGGUGAUGGAACAUUACAUCCCAACUUGCACCUAAUCUAUGUGGAUGAAGUUUGUGGAUUAUUUAAGCUUGCAGGUAUGCCCGAGGAUGUUAUCAAGAAGAAGGUAUUCCCUUUAUCUUUAAGGGAGAUGCAUUGACAUGGUUGAGGCUAUGUGAUGAUAUUGGAUCAUGGAACUACCAAUGAUUGAAAUUGUAAUUUCAUCAGAAGUUUUAUCCUAUGCAUCUUGUUCAUCGUGAUUGUAAUUAUAUAUAUAAUUUUUGGCCUCGCGAAGGAGAAAGCAUCGCUCAAGCUUGGGGGAGGCUUAAGUCAAUGUUAUAUUCAUGCCCCAAUCAUGAGCUCUAAAAAUGAUUAUUCAAAAAUUUUAUGCUCGGCUUUCUCUCAGUAAUCGCUCCAUGCUUGAUACUUCUUGUACUGGAUCUUUUAUGAUGAAGACUAUUGAAUUCAAAUGGGAUUUAUUGGAAAGAAUUAAAUGCAACUCUUAAGAUUGGGACCUUGACGAAGAUAAGGAGUCAGGUAUAACACCUAAGUUUGAUUGUGUUAAAUCUUUUAUGGAUACCGAUGCUUUUUGUGAAUUUAGCACUAAAUAUGGACUUGACUCUGAGAUAGUAGCUUCUUUCUGUGAAUCCUUUGCGACUCAUGUUGAGCUCCCUAAGGAGAAGUGGUUUAAAUAUAAUCCUCCCAUUCACUAGUAGAAAAUAGGGCUUUCGUUCGGCCAGAAAAUAGCAUUAAUCCCAGUUGCGUUACGAACCGGGACUAAUGUGAGCAUUAGUCCCGGUUCGAGCGGCGAGGGCACCGUACAGGCAUUACUCCCGGUUCAAAUGGGAUGUUUAGUCCCGGUUGGUGCCAUGAACCAGUACUAAAGGGUGCGAUGCCCAUUACUACCGGUUCGUGGCACGAACCGGUACUAAAGGUCUAACCUUNNNNNNNNNNNNNNNNNNNNNNNNNNNNNNNNNNNNNNNNNNNNNNNNNNNNNNNNNNNNNNNNNNNNNNNNNNNNNNNNNNNNNNNNNNNNNNNNNNNNNNNNNNNNNNNNNNNNNNNNNNNNNNNNNNNNNNNNNNNNNNNNNNNNNNNNNNNNNNNNNNNNNNNNNNNNNNNNNNNNNNAAGCAAAAGAAAAUGAUAAAGACUUCAAAAGUUAAAAUCCUUUGAGAUGUUGUUAUGUUACCACAUCUACUAGUUAGGAAAAUUUAAAAACAUAAAUUUGGACAUGUUUUGCAAAAAAUGUAGGGAAAAUGUAAAACGGCUAUAACUUUUGCAUACGAUGUCAGGAAAAACGUAUAAUAUAUCAAAAUGUUCAGAACAAAAAUCCGCAUCUGGUCUGUUUGCAAAUUUUUAGAAUCCUGAAAUUCCAAAAGGAAAAAAAGAUAUGCUCAAAUUUCAGUUUUUUUGAAUUUUGGUUAAAUCUGGUCAAACUAUGGUCAAACUACUUAUUCAAAAAGUAUUAGUGUUAUAAUUAUUCAAGAAUAUUAGUGUUACUAAAUAAUUAUUUCAAUUUUUUUGAAUGUUGGUCAAAUCUGGUCAAACUGUGGUCAAACAGCGGUCAAACUAUGGUCAAACUACUUAUUCAAGAAAGAUUAGUGUUACUAAAUAAUUAUUCAAGAAUAUUAGUGUUACUAAAUAAUUAUUUCAAUUUUUUUGAAUUUUGGUCAAAUCUGGUGAAACUAUGGUCAAACAGGGGUCAAAUUAUGGUCAAACUACUUAUUCAAGAAAUAUUAGUGUUACUUAAUAAUUAUUCAAGAAUAUUAGUGUUACUAAAUAAUUAUUUCAGUUUUUUUGAAUUUUGGUCAAAUCUGGUCAAACUAUGGUCAAACAAUGGCCAAACUACUUAUUCAAGAAAUAUUAGUGUUACUAGAUAAUUAUUUCAGUUUUUUUUGUAUUUUGGUCAAAUCUGGUGAAACAUUGGUCAAACUGUGGUCAAACUAUGGUCAAACUAAUUAUUCAAGAAAUAUUAGUGUUACUACAUAAUUAUUGUUUUUUAGAACAAUAGUUUCAAACUCAAACAGUGAAAUGUGUGACUUCAUGCUCAAGCUAAAUUCCUGAGGGUUAAUAGGAUUGACAUCUUACUAGUGUCAGGAAAACAACAAGUGGAGACUUGGAAACGAGGGAGAAUAGAACCCGGAAGUUAAGCAUGCUCAGGCUGGAGUAGUGAGAGGAUGGGUGACCAUCCGGGAAGUUAGAUGAUUUGGAAUGAUGAGAGGUGAUUAGAGAUUAGAGGUUAAAAUAAUUCAGAAAUUUAAAAAUAAAAAAAUUCAAAAAAAUAAUUUUAAAAAAAAAUCAUAAUAUUUCCUUUAGUACCGGUUGGUGUUACCAACCGGGACUAAAGGUGGACCUCCAGGCAACGGCCACGUGGAGGGCCUUUAGUCCCGGGACUAAAGGCCUCUUUUCUACUAGUGAUUGAAGUAAAAGUAGGUGCACCUAUUAAAGUUGAAGAAAAGACUAUCACUUAUAAUGAUCAUGUUGUUCCUACUGCUUAUAUUGAGAAACCACCUUUCCCUGUUAGAAUAAAGGAUCAUGCUAAAGCUUCAACUGUGGUCAACAAAAGUAAUAUUAAGGCACCCAAACCCCCUGAGCAAAUUAAGGUUGAACCUAGUGUUUCUAUGGUUAAAGAUCUCUUGGCCGAUAAUAUUGAUGGGCAGGUUAGUUACUUCUGCAAUGAAUCUGCUAGAAUUGCUAGACCCGAUACUAAAAAUAAACAUAGACCUGUUGUAGGCAUGCCUGUUAUUUCUGUUAAAAUAGGAGAUCAUUGCUAUCAUGGCUUAUGUGAUAUGCGUGCUAGUGCAAGUGCAAUACCUCAUUCCUUAUACAAAGGAAUUAUGCAUGAUAUUACACCUGCUGAGAUAGAAGAGAAUGAUGUUACAAUUAAGCUUGCAAAUAGAGAUACUAUUUCACUAGUUGGGAUUGUUAGAUAUGUUGAAGUCUUGUGUGGGGAAGUCAAAUAUCGUGCUGAUUUUCUUGUUCUUGGUUCCCCAAAAGAUGACUUUUGUCCCAUUAUAUUUGGUAGACCCUUCUUGAAUACUGUUAAUGCUAAGAUAGACUGCAAUAAGGAUAUUGUUUCUGCUGGUUUAGGGGAUAUGUCUCAUGAGUUUAAUUUUGCUAAAUUUCGUAGACAACCCCAUGAUAAAGAAUUACCUAGUAAAGAUGAAAUUAUUGGUCUUGCUUCUAUUGUCGUGUCUCCUACUGAUCCUUUAGAACAAUAUUUGCUAGACCAUGAAAAUGAUAUGUUUAUGAAUGAAAGAAGGGAAAUAGAUGAAGUAUUCUUUAAACAGGGACCUAUUUUGAAGCACAACUUGCCUGUUGAAACUCUAGGGGAUUCUCCUCCACCCAAGGGUGAUCCUGUGUUUGAGCUUAGACCUUUACCUGAUACUCUCAAAUAUGCUUAUCUUGAUGAGAAAGAGAUAUAUCCUGUUAUUAUUAGUGCUAACCUUUCAGAGCAUGAAGAAAAGAAAUUAUUGAAAACUCUGAAGAAGCACCGUGCUGCUAUUAGAUUUACUCUUGAUGAUCUUAAGGACAUUAGUCCCACUCUAUGCCAGCACAAAAUAAAAUUGGAGAAGGAUGCUAAACCGGUUGUUGAUCACCAACGACGGUUAAAUCCUAAGAUGAAAGAAGUGGUAAGAAAAGAAAUACUAAAGCUUCUAGAGGCAGGCAUAAUUUAUCCCGUUGCUGAUAGUCAGUGGGUAAGUCCUGUCCAUUGUGUCCCUAAGAAGGGAAGUAUUACUGUUGUUCCUCAUGAUAAAGAUGAAUUGAUCCCACAAAGAAUUGUUACAGGUUAUGGAAUGGUAAUAGAUUUCUGUAAAUUAAAUAAAGCUACUAAAAAGGAUCAUUACCCUUUAUCUUUUAUUGAUCAAAUGCUAGAAAGAUUAUCGAAGCAUACACAUGUUUGCUUUCUAGAUGGUUAUUCUGGUUUCUCUCAAAUACCUGUGUCAAAAGAGGAUCAAGAAAAGACAACUUUUACUUGCCCUUUCGGUACCUUUGCUUAUAGACGUAUGCCUUUUGGUUUAUGUAAUGCACCUGCUACCUUUCAAAGAUGUAUGACUGUUAUAUUCUCUGACUUUUGUGAAAAGAUUGUUGAGGUAUUCAUGGAUGAUUUCUCCGUUUACGGAACUUCUUUUGAUGAUUUCUUAAGCAACCUUGAUCGAGUUUUGCAGAGACGUGAAGAAACUAAUCUUGUCUUGAAUUAGAAGAAGUGCCACUUUAUGGUUAAUGAAGGUAUUGUCUUGGGGCAUAAAAUUUCUGAAAGAGUUAUUGAAGUUGAUAAAGUCAAAGUUGAUGCUAUUGAAAAGAUGCCGUGUCCCAAGGACAUUAAAGGUAUAAGAAGUUUCCUUGGUCAUGCCGGUUUUUAUAGGAGCUUCAUUAAGGACUUUUCUAAAAAUUUCUCAGCCUCUGACUAAUCUCUUAUAAAAAGAUGUUCCUUUUGUCUUUGAUGAUGAUUGUGUAGAAGCAUUUGAAAUACUUAAGAAAGCUUUGGUUUCUACACCUAUUGUUCAACCUCCUGAUUGGAAUUUACCCUUUGAAAUUAUGUGUGAUGCUACUGAUUAUGCUGUAGGGGUUGUUCUAGGACAAAGAGUUGAUAAGAAAUUAAAUGUUAUUCAAUAUGCUAGUAAAACUCUAGACAGUGCCCAAAGAAAAUUAUGCUACUACUGAAAAAGAAUUUUUAGCAGUUGUAUUUGCUUGCGAUAAGUUCAGACCUUAUAUUGUUGAAUCUAAAGUAACUGUUCACACUGAUCAUGCUGCUAUUAAAUAUUUUAUGGAAAAGAGAGAUGCUAAACCUAGACUUAUUAGAAGGGUUCUCUUGCUACAAGAAUUUGAUUUGCAUAUUAUUGAUAGAAAGGGAGCUGAGAACCCCGUUGCAGACAACUUGUCUAGGUUAGAGAAUGUUCUUAAUGACCCACUACCUAUUGAUGAUAGCUUUCCUGAUGAACAAUUAGCUGUCAUAAAUGCUUCUCAUACCUCUCCAUGGUAUGCUGAUUAUGCUAAUUACAUUGUUGCUAAAUUUAUACCACCUAGUUUCACAUACCAACAAAAGAAAAAGUUAUUUUAUGAUUUAAGACAUUAUUUCUGGGAUGACCCAAAUCUUUAUAAAGGAGUAGAUGGUGUUAUUAGACGUAGUGUACCCGAGCAUGAACAGGAACAGAUCUACGCAAGUGUCACUCCGAGGCUUAUGGAGGACACCAUGCUGGAGACAAAACUGCACAUAAGGUAUUGCAAUCCUUUUUUAUUGGUGUACUCUCUUCAAGGAUGCCCGUAGAUUUGUCUUGUCUUGUGAUGAAUGUCAAAGAAUUGGUAAUAUUAGUAGACGCGUCAAGAAAUGCGUAUGAACUAUUAACUAAUUAUUGAACCAUUUGAUGUUUGAGGCUUUGAUUAUAUGGGACAUUUUCCUUUCUCUAAUGGGUAUACUCAUAUUUUAGUUGCUGUUGAUUACGUUACUAAGUGGGUAGAAGCUAUUCCAACUAGUAGUGCUGAUCAUAACACCUCUAUUAAGAUGCUUAAAAAGUUAUUUUUUUCGAGGUUUGGAGUCCCUAGAUACUUAAUGACUGAUGGUGGUUCACAUUUUAUUCAUGAUGCUUUUCGUAAAAUGCUUACUAAAUAUGAUGUUAAUCAUAGAAUUGCAUCUCCAUAUCAUCCACAGUCUAGUGGUCAAGUAGAACUUAGCAAUAGAGAGCUUAAAUUAAUUUUGCAAAAGACUGUUAAUAGAUCUAGAAAGAAUUGGUCCAAGAAACUUGAUGAUGCAGUAUGGGCUUAUAGAAUUGCAUACAAAAAUCUAUGGGUAUGUCUCCAUAUAAAAUGGUUUAUGGUAAAGCAUGCCACUUACCUCUUGAACUAGAUGCUUUUUGAAAUUCACAAUUUUUUGAUUUGAUGUUUCUUAAAAUGCAUUAUCAUAUUUUGAAUCAGCAAACGUUUUAUGAAUCAACAAACUAUUUUGCAAGUUACGAAUAGUUUUUUGAAUUUUUAGGAUAUUUUCAAAUCAUGAAUAUUUUUUUGACUUGACCAAAGUUUCUUUAAUUUCAUUAACAUUUUUAAUACAUUUAAAAAAUCAUGAACAUUUUUUGAUUCCGAACAUUUGUUUCCAAAAUGGCGAACAUUUUUUGAUUACGCGAACAUUUUUUGAAAUCCACAAACAUUUACGAAUUGCUAAACAUUUUAUCUCAAAAUUAUUUUCUUAAUUUUUGGAACUUUUUUUGAAUUCCCAAAUUAUUUAAUGUACAAAAACGAAGAUGGAAAAGCAAAACGAAAUUUAAAAAAUAGGCUGCCAAGACAUGGGCCGGCCCAAACAGCGUGUUGUGUCUUCUCCUAGCGCAUAGAGCGCAGUUUAGACUGUUCCUAUUACAUGGGCCGGGCUGGGAUUCCGCUGUGUGAAUUUUUUCACUUAUAUGUGACACUGGUGGAUAAUAUUUUGCAAAUUUGAGUGCGAUUUCGGUGACGUGCCGCCAGAAGCAAUAGCUCCUUUAUUAUUAGGGGUAUAGAUAUAUAAAUUGAUUUCAUGUGCACGUAAGUUAGAGCAACUCCAACGCCUCUCUUGAAAAACCUUCUACUCCCUCCGUUCCUAACUAUAAGUCCUUUCAAAGAUUUCAAUAUGAACUAUAUACGGAGCACGAUAAGUGAAUCUACACUCUAAAAAAUAUCUAUAUACAUUUAUAUGUAGUCCGUAUUGAAAUCUCUAAAAAGUGUUAUAUUUAGAAACAGAGGAAGUAUAAAACUAGUUUUACGAGAUGUUUGUAAAUAAAUAACAGUGCAAGUUUUCUAAGAGCUACUUUUGUCAGAUUCUGUAAACUUAUUUCAUUCUUCUAUUUUUCAUUAAACAAAAAUGCAAAUUACACAUGCAUAUGCCUAAAUAUCAUCGUAAUAACUACAACAAUGUUAGACCGGACUGCACAACAUCAUUCCCGAGGGAUAGCUAUAUAGGCCCGUGGGGCUGAGCACCCCCAUGUCUGUUCUGCUCCUAGUUCACUUCCGUGCCUUCUUGCGUACAUUGCUUAGUGAGCUCUUGUAACCCCAUGCUGUAAAACUCUUCUCCUAUCAAUGCAGAGAUACGCAUCCUCUGUGUAUUCGCCACAAAAGAUCAAACUCACAUAUAAUUGAUAAUAAUUCAAACAUAAUAAAUUCGAAGUAGGCUUAAUCAAAUGGUUCAAACAUGAAGAUGAAACAUGCGAUAUAUGGCUCAUGAAAAGAAGGACAUAAACAAAAGAAAAUGAUAAAUAUGAAGAUCAGUUGUAGAUCAUCACGAUUGACUUCCACCACCGUUGCUAGUCCCAAAACCCUGUCCACAUCCAGCUUUGAUGCUAAAAUUUGUGAGUUCAUGAUCUGUAGAUAUUGCAUCGCUUCUGGCUCAAGUCCGCAACAUGAUCUUGUACUCUUGCUCCAUCUUUUUUGUCUGCACUUCCUCUUGAAAGGCUCUUAGUUUCUCUUCUUCGAUUGUCACUUUGUGCUCCUCCAUUACCUUCAGCUCUGUCCCACCUCAUGGCCUUCUCCAAUUUCGGCGAAAGGAUGCUGGCUAUCACACAUGUCGGCGAAAGGAAAUAUAAUUGUUGUUGAUGACCUAAGUACGAGCAAAGAACCAUGCAGCAUACUCUAGUUUUCCACUUGAGUACUAGUACGACGGAGGAGUAUGAAACACGGCAGCCCGGUGAACUAGCAUGCAAUAUGGCAAUAAAAAAUAAUGUAUACUACAGUCCAGCCUUUAGCAUGUAAAAAUACGCCACCACUUCCUCCUCUACCCGUCUAUCCAUAUAUCUUCCACAAUACACCUGAACACACCUGCAUCGUCUUCAUUCUUUCGUUUAUUUUUCUCUCCUCUCCUUCCAGGUGGCCUUUUUGCUUGGAUGACGGGAGUAGUAGGGGUAUUUGCCACUUCUUCCAUAUCAUCAUCAUCAUCAUCGCUAUCUUGUGAAUUUUAUUUAUCCUUCUUGGGAUUUAGCUGCACAAUCUUCCUGUUUUUUCACUUCUCAUUGCUCUUCAGCAACGCCCAACAGUGGUACAACAAAAAUGACCUAUUUUUGGGAUCCCUCUGCUUGUACAUGCCGUUUGACUAUCUUAUUUGAGAAGUUAGCAAUGUCAUAUUAGAAUUUUGGAUAAAUAAUUCAAAGAAUAAUAUGCACAAAAAAUACUCACCAACAUGUCCUUUGUCAUUCCACUUGGUUUCGCAAGAUGAACAUUACUCUUUUUUACCAAGUGGAAUGACAAAGGACAAGUGGAUUACUAACACAACCUGUGCAAUGACUACAAUAUUCCUGUGCAAUGACAAAGGACAAGUGGAGUACUAACACAACUUCUGCAAUGACUGCAAUAUUCCUGAAUGAAGCCCCAUCGACCCUGGAAUGACUUUAAUGAUAUUGGGAUUGGGCUAGUGACAUUGUGAUCAUAAUGAUUUGAUAUGCGCUUCCAGUAGGUUCUCAUGCUUUCAUCAGUGACUACUAUUGGAUCAAGACUAACACUCUCCCACACGAGGACCAAUGCUUUGUCCUCGUCGUUGUUGAAGUUGCUUUGUCUUUUCUUUGGUACGGAACUCAAUUCUUUGUCACCCUCAGCAGGAGUGGAGAAUGACAUGUCAUCUAUGCCUACCACAUUGUUCAUCAACUCCAUAUAUAAAUGAUGACUACAAUAUCGUAAUUUUGAAUGGUUGGGCAUAUGCGGUUGUGUAGCCUAACGACCCGAGUUCAAUUCCUAGAAUUGACAGGUGAUGCACAAGGGUUUUCCCCCAUUUAUUAAUGAUCAAGUUUGGUGUGUGGUGGAACCACUCAUCAAAAAAGUAUCUUGAUACUCAUUUAAAAAAUUUUGAGGACCAUGUUUAUAUUGGUACUCAUACUAAAAUGGCCACAUGCAUCCCUAGUUGGUGCAGAGGCCGGGGAAGUGAAAUAUUCCCCCAUUUUUAACUGCAAAGAGAGCCUUGGCUCAGUGGUUGGGCAUGCGGUUGUGGAGCCUAACGACCCGAGUUUAAUUCCAAGAAUUGACAGGUGAUGCACAGGGGUUUCCCCCAUUUACUAAGGAUCAACUUUGGUGUAUAGUGAAACCACUCACCAAAAAUAUCUUGAUACUCAUUUAAAAAAUUCUGAGGACCAUGUUUAUCUUGGUACUCAUACUAAAAUGGCCAUAUGCAUCCCUAGUUGGUGCAGAGGCCGGGGAAGUGAAAUUCUCCCUAAUUUUAUAGACAGAAGUCCAAAGCAUCGUUUAGAUACCCCCGCGUCGUCCUCCCCCUAGGGCGACUCGGGCGGCUAGAAACCUAGCCGCAGCCGCCGCAAACUCCCUCCUCCUCUCCCUCCUCCGUCGCCAGAAGACGUCGCUGGGCUAAGCCCGGGGGCCGACGGCGGUGGCGGGGGAUCUCCUCUCUCGCGCGUCUCCGGGGUGGGGCAAACCCCAAGGCAUGUGGUGGUGCGACCGAUCUGGGAUCUGCGGCGCGACGGAUGGCUGUAGGCGGCGGGAGGCCGGCCCGUCCUCGGACGGCGACGGCUUGGCGCGGCGGCGGCUGGGGUCGGCGGCGGCCGGCUUGGCUGCGGUGGUGUACAUGUUGCCUUCAGAUCGGCAACGGCGGCGUGGAGGGCAUGAUGGUCUCGUCGGCGGCACCUCCGCUCAGAUCUGUUCUGACCGGUGCAGCCGGCGGUGGUGGUCAUCUCUUCCGUCAGAGGUGGUCGGCCUGAGGUUGGGUGUUUGGAUCUCGGGAUCCGUCAUCUAGCACCAGCUGCGAGUCGGGGAGACGUAGUUGCCGGUGAAAACCGAGCCAAUGGCGGGCGAUGGCGGCGUUCCACGUCGUUACCUUGAUGAAGGCAUCGUCAUGUGACAACCGUCGACCCACUCAUAUUGCUCCAGGGGAAACCCUAGGAUCUGGUGUUCCAGACCGGACAAUGGCGGCACUGCAGUGUCGUUUCUCUCUUGGAAGCACCGCUUUGUGGAGCAGGCUGGAAGUCAGAGGCAGGAGGUGGAGCGGCUUCGUCUUGCACGGAGCUUCGGUGGAGAUGUCAAGUCAUGCCUGACCGACAGGUGCUACACUUGGUCAUGACUGGUCGGCAGGUGCUACGCACGACAGAUCCUCCAAGGGCUUUAAGCUGUGUCGGCUAGUGGUACUUGGCAGCAUGGCGCUGAGGUUUAUCAGUGGCGACCGCGACGUGUUCAGCUGUUUGCGCAUAGGUAGGAGGUGCCGUUGGGCGCCGUGGUGGCGUCGACGAUAGCUGGACCAAGCAAGGUUGAUGCAUCAGUACAGUUCUGAAGAUGGAGCGGUGGCAGUUGGCGGCGACGGCCUCUGAGAGCACGUCGGACCAGUGUGUGCCAGACCCGGCAAGUGGCUAGGUUGGGGUCUCAGGUCUUAGAUGUUAGGCUUGGCUGCGAUAUCUGUUUGGUAUUAGGCCCACGCUAUCUGCGCCCCUUCAUCAACUGGAUAGGUGUAGCGACAGUUCGUUGCUUAGACGAUGGCUUUAGUUUUACUGUUGCAUGACUUUGUAAGGUCUUGUGAGAAUAAUUAAUAAAGUGGUCGUAUGCAUCGUCCAGAUGCAGAGGCCGGGGGUCAUCCUCCUUUUCUAAAAAAACAAAUAAGCACUAUAACAAAUCACGUGUACAAUGAUCAUGUGAAGUACACAAUAUAUUUACCUAUCAAAUCAUCAUCGUAGACAUCGUUGGCGUUCGACCAAGUAAUCAUCCUCGUUUGUGUAGGGCGAUGGCAUGUUUGUGUACGUCACCGUACAUAUUUGCGGCGAAGACGAUGACAACAUGAUGUGAAGUACACAAUAUAUUUACCUAUCAAAUCAUCAUCGUAGACAUCGUUGGCGUUCGACCAAGUAAUUAUCCUCGUUUUUGUAGGGCGAUGGCAUGUUUGUGUACGUCACCGUACAUAUUUGCGGCGAAGACGAUGACAACAUGAUGUGAAGUACACAAUAUAUAAUCAUCAUCGUAGACAUCGUUGGUGUUCGACCAAGUAAUCAUCCUCGUUUGUGUAGGGCGAUGUCAUGUUUGUGUACGUCACCGUAUAUAUUUGCGGCGAAGACGAUGACAACAUGAAGGGGAGCUGGCCGAUACAACACCGCUCUUCGUCUUCCUCAGAGCAUGAGGCUUCUUCGGCGCGGUCGAAGAUACGUGGCAGGAGACGGCAGGGGGCGAUCUUGAUCGACGACUGCCACAGACUUGCGGCUCCUCUUGGCUGCGCCCUCUUGCCCGACGACAAUGGCGGCCAGCGAUGGAAGCAGCGGGGCCGCAUUGGCACUUGGAGGCGAAGGAAAGGAGGCCGUGGCGGCGUCUGACACUCAUGCGGCAGCAGCGGUGAUCUAUGAGGAAGACACUCUUCUUUUUCGCAAUGGUACCUUUCAAUUAUUUGAGAAGGGCCCGUUCAUAGAAGCAUCGAUGUUAGAAGGCAUGACUAGGUACUUUUCAAUUCAGAAUUCAUUAUGAACUUUUAGUAUAUCUUUAACUUCUUGACGGAUAAGAUUAGGGCAACUCUUGCUUAAGAAAAUAGAAGAUUAAUUUGGUGUGGGUGCGUUGUUCGGAACCUGGUAUAAAGAGUAAGAGCAACUCCAACCGGGCGAUCGAAAAGAGGUACCCUUUGUCCGCAUUUUGUUCGUUUGGGUCGACCCUGCGGACAUUCAUAUCCGCUUCCGCUUUGGGAUGGCGCUUGCGUCCAAUGCUGGCCCGACACAUUUUUAAGGUCGCGGAUGAAAAAGUCAAUAACACAAAUAUUGUGAAAUUAAAAAUGUAAUUAAACAUAAAUGCUGACCACAAAGGCUGGCGAGAGUCCACACAUCCACAUUUUACAUUAAUUAAAAACAUUUAAUAAAACUAAAAACGAGGAAGAGGCGCACUGCCUUAGGAGUCCUCGUCGUCGGUGUCGGGGCCGGUGAGGUUGGCGAGCAUCGGCGCCGGGCCAGCCCAGGGGAACGCCGCCUUGCAGGCUGUGGCGACGUCCUGCAGCGCAGGCGUGACCGCCGCUGGCUGGGCUGCACGGGCCCGACGCUCCUCCUCCUCCGCCUCCGUCACUUCUCCCCCGUGUCACGCUCCCACUGCUCAAGGCGCUCGCCCUAGGUGCCCCUCAUAUCCCCUCCAUCAGCCAACGCUUUCGCCAUCAGCCAGCGCUUUCGCCAUUACUCAAGGCAUAUCUCGAUGGGCACAGAUAAAGGGGAUAUGAGGGGCACCUAGGUGCUUCAUGGGACGCGCGCGUUGCUGCGAUGGAGGCGUUGGGGACGGGGACGGGGCCGGAGCCUUGAGUGUCGCUGCCAUAGCCCGCAUGUUUCAUGGGUAAAUCCUAGGAUACAUCAGGCGAUCUGCUCACUAGUAUUGCAACAUAACCGCUGUUGCAGAAACUUAGUCGGUGUUGUAGAAACAUAGUUGCUUCAAAAACAUCCCUCGUGCUUCAACAAGAACGACGGAGCAGUGGGAGCGUUGCGAGGACGAGCGCCUUGAGCAGUGGGAGCGUGACACGGGGGAGAAGUGACGCGAGGCGGAGGAGGAGGAGCGUCGGGCCCGCGCAGCCCAGCCAGCGGCGGUCACGCCUGCGCUGCAGGACGUUGCCACAGCCUGCAAGACGGCGUUCCCCUGGGCUGGCCCGGCGCCGAUGCUCGUCAACCUCACCGGCCCCGACACUGGCGAGGAGGACUCCUAAGGCAGUGCGCCUCUUCCUUGUUUUUAGUUUUAUUAAAUGUUUUUAAUUAAUGUAAAAUGUGGAUGCGUGGACUCUUGCCAGCCUUUGUGGUCAGCAUUUAUGUUUAAUUACAUUUUUAAUUUCGCAAUAUUUGUGUUAAUGACUUUUUCAUCUGCGACCUUGAAAAUGUGUCGGGCCAGCAUUGGACGCAAGCGCCGUCCCAAAGCGGAAGCGGAUAUGAAUGUCCGCUGGGCCGACCCAAACGAACAAAAUGCAGACAAAGGGUGCCUCUGUUUCUAUCGCCCGGUUGGAGUUGCUCUUACUCUUUAUACCAGGUCCGAACAACGCACCCACACCAAACUAAUCUUCUAUUUCUUAAGCAAGAGUUGCCCUAAUCUUAUCCGUCAAGAAGUUAAAGAUAUACUAAAAGUUCUCAAUGAAUUCUGAAUUGAAAAGUACCUAGUCAUGCCUUCUAACAUCGAUGCUUCUAUGAACGGGCCCUUCUCAAAUAACUGAAAGGUACCAUUGCGAAAAAGGAGAGUGUCUUCCUGAUAGAUCACCGCUGCUGCCGCAUGAGUGUCAGACGCCGCCAUGGCCUCCUUUCCUCCGCCUCCAAAUGCCAAUGCGGCCCCCGCUGCUUCCAUCGCUGGUCGCCGUUGUCGUCGGGCAAGAGGGCGCAGCCAAGAGGAGCUGCAAGUCUGUGGCAGUCGUCGAUCAAGAUCGUCCCCCUGCCGUCUCCCGCCACGUAUCUUCGACCGCGUCGAAGAAACCUCAUGCUCUGAGGAAGACGAAGAAUGGUGUUGCAUCGGCCAGCUCCCCUUCAUGUUGUCAUGGUCUUCGCCGUAAAUAUAUACGGGGACGUACACAAACGUGCCAUCGCCCUACACAAACGAGGAUGAUUACUUGGCCGAACGCCAAUGAUGUCUACGAUGAUGAUUUGAUAGGUAAAUAUAUUGUGUACUUCACAUCAUGUUGUCAUCGUCUUCGCCGCAAAUAUGUACGGUGACGUACAAAAACAUGCCAUCGCCCUACACAAACGAGGAUGAUUACUUGGUCGAACGCCAACGAUGUCUAUGAUGGUGAUUUGAUAGGUAAAUAUAUUGUGUACUUCACAUCAUGUUGUCAUCGUCUUCGCGGCAAAUAUGUACGGUGACAUACACAAACAUGCCAUCGCCCUACACAAACGAGGAUGAUUACUUGGUCGAACGCCAAUGAUGUCUACGAUGAUGAUUUGAUAGGUAAAUAUAUUGUGUACUUCACACGAUCAUUGUACACAUGAUUAGUUAUAGUGCUUAUUUGUUUUUUUAGAAAAGGAGGAUGACCCCUGGUCUCUGCAUCUGGUCGAUGCAUACGGCCACUUUAUUAAUUAUUCUCACAAGACUUUACAAAGUCAUGCAACAGUAAAACUAAAGCCGCCGUCUAAGCAACAAACUAUCGCUACACCUAUCCAGUUGAUGAAGGGGUGCAGAUAGCCUGGGCCUAAUACUAAACAGACAUCGCAGCCAAGCCUAACAUCUAAGACCUGAGACCCCAACCUAGCCACUUGCCGGGUCUGGCACACACUGGUCCGGCAUGCUCUUAGAGGCCGCCGCCGUCAACUGCCACCGCUCCAUCUUCAGAAUUGUACUGAUGCAUCAACGUUGCUCGGUCCAGCUACGUCGACACCACCACGGCGCCAAACGACACCUCCUCCCUACACGCAAAUAGCUGAACACGUCGCGGUCGCCAUUGGUACACCUCAGCGCCAUGCUGCCAAGUACCACCAGCCGACACAGCUUGAAGCCCUUGGAGGAUCUGUCAUACAUAGCACCUGCCGACCAGGCAUGACCAAGUGUAGCACCUGUCGGUCAGGCAUGACUUGACAUCUUCACCGAAGCUCCGUGCAAGACGAAGCUGCUCUACCUCCUGCCUCUGACUUCCAGCCUGCUCCACAAAAUAAUGCUCCCAAGAGAAAAACGACACCGCAAUGCCGCCAUCGUCCAGUCUGGAACACCAGAUCCUAGGGUUUCCCCCGGAGCAAUACGAGUGGGUCGACGGUAGUCACAUGACGACGCCUUCAUCAAGGUAACGACGUGGAACGCCGCCAUCGCCCGCCGUUGGCUCGGUUUUCACCAGCAACUACAUCUCCCCGACUCGCAGCUGGUGCUAGAUGACGGAUCCCGAGAUCUGAACACCCAGCCUCAGGCCGACCACCUCUGACGGAAGAGAUGACCACCACCGCCGGCUGCACCAGUCAGAACAGAUAUGACCGGAGGUGCCGCCGACGAGACCAUCAUGCCCUCCACGCCGCCGUCGCCGAUCUGAAGGCAGCAUGCACGCCACCCCUACUACUCCCGUCAUCCAAGCAAAAAGGCCACCUGGAAGGAGAGGAUAGAAAAAUAAACGAAAGAAUGAAGACGAUGCAGGUGUGUUCAAGUGUAUUGUGGAAGAUAUAUGGAUAGACGGGUAGAGGAGGAAGUGGUGGCGUAUUUUUACAUCUAAAGGCUGGACUGUAGUAUACAUUACUUUUUAUCGCCAUAUUGCAUGCUAGUUCACCGGGCUGCCGUGUUUCACACUCCUCCGUCGCACUAGUACUCAAGUGGAAAACUAGAGUAUGCUGCAUGGUUCUUUGCUCCUACUUAGGUCAUCAACAACAAUUAUAUUUCCUUUCACCGACAUGUGCGAUAGUCAGCAUCCUUUCGCCGAAAUUGGAGAAGGUCAUGAGGUGGGACAGAGCUGAAGGUAAUGGAGGAGCACAAAGUGACAAUCGAAGAAGAGAAACUGAGAGCCUUUCAAGAGGAAGUGCAGACAAAAAAGAUGGAGCAAGUGUACAAGAUCAUGUUGCGGACUUGACCCAGAAGCGAUGCAAUAUCUACAGAUCAUGAACUCACAAAUUUUAGCAUCAAAGCUGGAUUUUGACAGGGUUUUGGGACUAGCAACGGUGGUGGAAGUCAAUCGUGAUGAUCUACGACUGAUCUUCAUAUUUAUCAUUUUCUUUUGUUUAUGUCCUUCUUUUCAUGAACCAUAUAUCGCAUGUUUCAUCUUCAUGUUUGAACCAUUUGAUUAAGCCUAUUUCGGAUUUAUUAUGUUUGAAUUAUUAUCAACUAUACGCGAGUUUGAUCUUUUUUGGCGAAUACGCAGAGGAUGUGUAUCUCUGCAUUGAUAGGAGAAGACUUUUACAGCAUGGGGUUACAAGAGCUCACUAAGCCAUGUCCGCAAGAAGGCACAGAAGUUAACUAGGAGCAGAACAAACAUGGGGGUGCUCAGCCCCACCAGCCUACAUAGCUAUCCCUCGGGAAUGAUGUUGUGCAGUCCGGUCUACCAUUGUUUUAGUUAUUACGAUCAUAUUUAGGCAUAUGCAUGUGUAAUUUGCAUUUUUGUUUAAUGAAAAAUAGAAGAACGAAAUAAGUUUACAGAAUCUGACAAAAGUAGCUCUCAGAAAACUUGCACUGUUAUUUAUUUACAAACAUCUCGUAAAACCAGUUUUAUACUCCCUCUGUUUCUAAAUAUAACACUUUUUAGAGAUUUCAAUACGGACUACAUAUAAAUGUAUAUAGACAUUUUUUAAAGUGUAGAUUCACUUAUCUUGCUCCGUAUAUAGUUCAUAUUGAAAUCUUUGAAAGGACUUAUAGUUAGGAACAGAGGGAGUACAAGGUUUUUCAAGAGAGGCGUUGGAGUUGCUCUAACUUACGUGCACAUGAAAUCAAUUUAUAUAUCUAUACCCCUUAAUAAUAAAGGAGCUAUUGCUUCUGGCGGUACGUCAUCGAAAUCGCACUCAAAUUUGCAAAAUAUUAUUCACCAGUGUCACCUAUAAGUGAAAAAUAUAUAUUUCACACAGCGGAAUCCCAGCCCGGCCCAUGUAAUAGGAACAGUCUAAACUGCGCUCUGUGCGCUAGGAGAAGACACAACACGCUGUUUGGGCCGGCCCAUGCCUUGGCAGCCUAUUUUUUAAAUUUCGUUUUGAUUUUCCAUCUUUGCUUUUUCUACAUUAAAUAAUAUGGAAAUUAAAAAAAUUCCAAAAAUUAAGAAAAUGAGAAUUUUGAGAUAAAAUGUUUAGCAAUUCGUAAAUGUUUGUGGAUUUCAAAAAAUGUUCGCGUAAUCAAAAAAUGUUCGCCAUUUUGAAAACAAAUGUUCGGAAUCAAAAAAUGUUCAUAAUUUUUUAAAUGUUUAAAAAUGUUAAUGAAAUUAAAGAAACUUUGGUCAAGUCAAAACAAUAUUCAUGAAUUGAAAAUAUCCUUAAAAUUCGAAAAACUAUUCGUAACUUGCAAAAUAGUUUGUUGAUGCAUAAAACGUUUGCUAAUUCAAAAUAUGAUCAUGCAUUUAAAAAACAUCAAAUCAAAAAAUUGUGAAUUUCAAAAAACAUCUAGUUCAAGAGGUAAGUGACAUGUUUUACCAUAAACCAUUUUAUAUGGAGACAUACCAUAGGAUUUUUGUAUGCAGUUCUAUAAGCCCAUAAUGCAUCAUCAAGUUUCUUGGACCAAUUCUUUCUAGAUCUAUUAACAGUCUUUUGCAAAAUUAAUUUAAGCUCUCUAUUGCUAAGUUCUACUUGACCACUAGACUGUGGAUGAUAUGGACGUGCAAUUCUAUGAUUAACAUCAUACUUAGCAAGCAUUUUACAAAAAGCACCAUGAAUAAAAUAUGAACCACCAUCAGUCAUUAAGUAUCUAGGGAUUCCAAACCUUGAAAAAAUAACUUCUUUAAGCAUCUUAAUAGAGGUGUUAUGAUCAGCACUACUAGUUGGAAUAGCUUCUACCCACUUAGUAACGUAAUCAACAAUAACUAAAAUAUGAGUAUACCCAUUAGAGGAAGGAAAAGGUCCCAUAUAAUCAAAGCCCCAAACAUCAAAUGGUUCAAUAAUAAGUGAAUAGUUCAUAGGCAUUUCUUGACGUCUACUAAUAUUACCAAUUCUUUGACAUUCAUCACAAGACAAGACAAACUUACGGGCAUCCUUGAAGAGAGUAGGCCAAUAAAAACCGGAUUGCAAUACCUUAUGUGCAGUUCUGUCUCCAGCAUGGUGUCCUCCAUAAGCCUCGGAGUGACACUUGCGUAGGAUAUGUUCCUGUUCAUGCUCGGGUACACAACGUCUAAUAACACCAUCUACUCCUUUAUAAAGAUGUGGGUCAUUCCAGAAGUAAUGUCUUAAAUCAUAGACUAACUUUUUCUUUUGUUGGUAUGUGAAACUAGGUGGUAUAAAUUUAGCAACAAUGUAAUUAGCAUAAUCAGCAUACCAUGGAGAGGUACGAGAAGCAUUUAUGACAGCUAAUUGUUCAUCAGGAAAGCUAUCAUCAAUAGGUAGUGGGUCAUCAAGAACAUUCUCUAACCUAGACAAGUUGUCUGCAACGGGGUUCUCAGCUCCCUUUCUAUCAAUAUAUGCAAAUCAAAUUCUUGUAGCAAGAGAACCCAUCUAAUAAGUCUAGGUUUAGCAUCUUUCUUUUCCAUAAGAUAUUUAAUAGCAGCAUGAUCAGUGUGAACGGUUACUUUAAAAUCAACAAUAUAAGGUCUGAACUUAUCUCAAGCAAAUACAACUGCUAAAAAUUCUUUUUCAGUAGUAGCAUAAUUUCUUUGGGCAGUGUCUAGAGUUUUACUAGCAUAUUGAAUAACAUUUAAUUUCUUAUCAACUCUUUGUCCUAGAACAGCCCCUACAGCAUAAUCACUAGCAUCACACAUAAUUUCAAAGGGUAAAUUCCAAUCAGGAGGUUGAACAAUAGGUGUAGAAAUCAAAGCUUUCUUAAGUAUUUCAAAUGCUUCUACACAAUCAUCAUCAAAGACAAAAGGAACAUCUUUUUGUAGGAGAUUAGUCACAGGCUGAGAAAUUUUAGAAAAGUCCUUAAUGAACCUCCUAUAAAAACCGGCAUGACCAAGGAAACUUCUUAUACCUUUAAUGUCCUUGGGACACGGCAUCUUUUCAAUAGCAUCAACUUUAGCUUUAUCAAAUUCAAUACCUCUUUCAGAAAUUUCAAUUCAAGACAAGAUUAGUUUCUUUACAUCUCUGCAAAACUCGAUCAAGGUUGCUUAAGAAAUCAUCAAAAGAAGUUCCGCAAACGGAGAAAUCAUCCAUGAAUAUCUCAGCAAUCUUUUCACAAAAGUCAGAGAAUAUAACAGUCAUACAUCUUUGAAAGGUAGCAGGUGCAUUACAUAAACCAAAAGGCAUACGUCUAUAAGCAAAGGUACCGAAAGGGCAAGUAAAAGUUGUCUUUUCUUGAUCCUCUUUUGACACAGGUAUUUGAGAGAAACCAGAAUAACCAUCUAGAAAGCAAAAAUGUGUAUGCUUGGAUAAUCUUUCUAGCAUUUGAUCAAUAAAAGGUAAAGGGUAAUGAUCCUUUUUAGUGGCUUUAUUUAAUUUACGGAAAUCUAUUACCAUUCCAUAACCUGUAACAAUUCUUUGUGGGAUCAAUUCAUCUUUAUCAUUAGGAACAACAGUAAUACCUCCCUUCUUAGGGAAACAAUGGACAGGACUUACCCACUGACUAUCAGCAACGGGAUAAAUUAUACCUGCCUCCAGAAGCUUUAGUAUUUCUUUUCUUACCACUUCUUUCAUCUUAGGAUUUAACCGUCGUUGGUGAUCAACAACCGGUUUAGCAUCCUUCUCCAAUUUCAUUUUGUGCUGGCAUAGAGUGGGACUAAUGCCCUUAAGAUCAUCAAGAGUAUAUCUAAUAGCAGCACGGUGCUUCUUCAGAGUUUUCAAUAACUUCUUUUCUUCAUGCUCUGAAAGGUUAGCACUAAUAAUAACAGAAUAUAUCUCUUUCUCAUCAAGAUAAGCAUAUUUGAGUGUAUCAGGUAAAGGUUUAAGCUCAAACACAGGAUCACCCUUGGGUGGAGGAGGAUCCCCUAGAAUUUCAACAGGAAAGUUGUGCUUCAAAAUAGGUCCCUGUUUAAAGAAUACUUCAUCUAUUUCUCUUCUUCCAUUCAUAAACAUAUCAUUUUCAUGGUCUAGCAAAUAUUGUUCUAAAGGAUCAACAGGAGGCAUGGCAAUGGAAGCAAGACCAAUAAUUUCAUCUUUACUAGGCAAUUCUUUAUCAUGGGGUUUUCUAUGAAAUUUAGCAAAAUUAAACUCAUGAGACAUAUCCCCUAAACCAACAGAAACAAUAUCCUUAUUGCAGUCUAUCUUAGCAUUAACAGUAUUCAAGAAGGGUCUACCAAAUAUAAUGAGACAAAAUUCAUCUUUUGGGGAACCAAGAACAAGAAAAUUAGCAGGAUAUUUGACUUCCCCACACAAGACUUCAACAUCUAACAAUCCCAACCGGUGAAAUAGUAUCUCUAUUUGCAAGCUUAAUUGUAACAUCAAUCUCUUCUAUCUCAGUAGGUGCAAUAUCAUGCAUAAUUUCUUUGUAUAAGGAAUGAGGUAUUGCACUUGCACUAGCACCCAUAUCACAUAAGCCAUGAUAGUAAUGAUCUCCUAUUUUAACAGAAAUAGCAGACAUGCCUACAACAGGUCUAUGUUUAUUUUUAGUAUCAGGUCUAGCAAUUCUAGCAGAUUCAUUGCAGAAGUAAAUAACCUGCCCAUCAAUAUUAUCGGCCAAGAGAUCUUUAACCAUAGCAACACUAGGUUCAACCUUAAUUUGCUCAGGAGGUUUGGGUGCCUUAAUAUUACUUUUGUUGACCACAGUUGAAGCUUUAGCAUGAUCCUUUAUUCUAACAGGGAAAGGUGGUUUCUCAAUAUAAGCAGUAGGAACAACAGGAUCAUUAUAAGUGAUAGUCUUUUCUUCAACUUUAAUAGGUGCAACUACUUUUACUUCAAUGGGAGGAUUAUAUUUAAACCACUUCUCCUUAGGGAGAUCAACAUGAGUAGCAAAGGAUUCACAGAAAGAAGCUACUAUCUCAGAGUCAAGUCCAUAUUUAGUGCUAAAUUCACGAAAAGCGUCGGUAUCCAUAAAAGAUUUAACACAAUCAAACUUAGGUGUUAUACCUGACUCCUUACCUUCGUCGAGGUCCCAAUCUUCAGAGUUGCGUUUAAUUCUUUCCAAUAAAUCCCAUUUGAAUUCAAUAGUCUUCAUCAUAAAAGAUCUAGUACAAGAAGUAUCGAGCAUGAAGCGAUUACUGAGAGAAAGCCGAGCAUAAAUUUUUUGAAUAAUCAUUUCUUUUGAGAGCUCAUGAUUGGGGCAUGAAUAUAACAUUGACUUAAGCCUCCCCAUGCUUGAGCGAUGCUUUCUCCUUCGUGAGGCCAAAAAUUAUAUAUAUAAUUACGAUCACGAUGAACAAGAUGCAUAGGAUAAAACUUCUGAUGAAAUUACAAUUUCAAUCGUUGGCAGUUCCAUGAUCCAAUAUCAUCACAUAGCUUCAACCAUGUCAAUGCAUCUCCCUUCAAAGAUAAAGGCAAUACCUUCUUCUUGAUAACAUCCUCGGGCAUACCUACAAGCUUAAAUAAUCCACAAACUUGAUCCACAUAGAUUAGGUGCAAAUCGGGAUGUAAUGUUCCAUCACCUGUUAAAGUAUUAGCUAGCAGUUUCUCUAUCAUACCCGAAGGAAUUUCAAAGUAAACAUUUUCAGUAGGUUCAGUAGGUUGAGGACCAACUCUUUGCUCUACUGGUUGGGGUGAAGAUACCCCGAACAAGCCCUUCAAAGGAUUAUGUUCCAUAGUAACAAGUGACUGUAAAUUUCAGCACACUAUAUAAAUUUUUCCUUACCAAAUUCCACCUACCAAAGGCGCUUCACUCCCCGGCAACGGCGCCAGAAAAGAGUCUUGAUGACCCAUACGUGUAGGGGAUUAUCGUAGCCUUUUCGAUAAGUAAGAGUGUCGAACCCAACGAGGAGCAGAAGGAAAUGAUAAACGGUUUUCGGCUAGGUAUUUUCUGCAAGCACUGAAAUUAUCGGUAAAAAAUAGUUUUGUGAUAAGGUAAUUGGUAAUGGGUAACAAAUAGUAAAAGUAAAUAAGGUGCAACAAGAUGGCCCAAUCAUUUUUGUAGAAAAGGACAAGCCUGGACAAACUCUUAUAUAAAGUAAAGCACUCCCGAGGACACAUGGAAAUUAUCGUCAAACUAGUUUUCAUCACGUUCAUAUGAUUCGUGUUCGGUACUUUGAUAAUUCGAUAUGUGGGUGGACCGGUGCUUGGGUACUGCCCUUACUUGGACAAGCAUCCCACUUAUGAUUAACCCCUAUUGCAAGCAUCCGCAACUACAACAGAAGUAUUAAGGUAAACCUAACCAUAGCAUGAAACAUAUGGAUCCAAAUCAGCCCCUUACGAAGCAACGCAUAAACCAGGGUUUAAGCUUUUAUCACUCUAGCAACCCAUCAUCUAAUUAUUACUUCCCGAUGCCUCUCUCUAUGCCCAAAUAUGAAGGAAAUUUGCCCUAGAGGCAAUAAUAAAGUUAUUAUUUAUUUCCUUAUUUCAUGAUAAAUGUUUAUUAUUCAUGCUAGAAUUGUAUUAACCGGAAACAUAAUACAUGUGUGAAUACAUAGACAAACAGAGUGUCACUAGUAUGCCUCUACUUGACUAGCUCGUUGAUCAAAGAUGGUUAAGUUUCCUAACCAUAGACAUGAGUUGUCAUUUUAUUAAUGGUAUCACAUCAUUAGGAGAAUGAUGUGAUUGACUUGACCCAUUCCGUUAGCUUAGCACUUGAUCGUUUAGUUUGUUGCUAUUGCUUUCUUCAUGACUUAUACAUGUUCCUAUGACUAUGAGAUUAUGCAACUCCCAUUUACCGUAGGAACACUUUGUGUGCCACCAAACGUCACAACAUAACUAGGUGAUUAUAAAGGUGCUCUACAGGUGUCUCCAAAGGUACUUGUUGGGUUGGUGUAUUUCGAGAUUAGGAUUUGUCACUCCGAUUGUCGGAGAGGUAUCUCUGGGCCCACUCGGUAAUGCACAUCACUAUAAGCCUUGCAAGCAUCGUAACUAAUGAGUUAGUUGCGGGAUGAUGUAUUAUGGAAUUAAAGAGACUUGCCGGUAACGAGAUUGAACUAGGUAUUGAGAUACCGACGAUCGAAUCUCGGGCAAGUAACAUACCGAUGACAAUGGGAACAACGUAUGUUGUUAUGCGGUCUGACCGAUAAAGAUCUUCGUAGAAUAUGUAGGAGCCAAUAUGGGCAUCCAGGUCCCGCUAUUGGUUAUUGACCAGAGAGGUGUCUCGGUCAUGUCUACAUAGUCCUCGAACCCGUAGGGUCCGCACGCUUAACGUUCAUUGACGAUAUAGUACUAUAUGAGUUAUGUAUGUUGAUGACCGAAUGUUGUUCGGAGUUCAGGAUGAGAUCACGGGCAUGACGAGGAACUCCGGAAUGGUCCAGAGAUAAAGUUUGAUAUACGGGAUAAUAGUGUUUGGUCACCAGAAGGGUUCCGGAAUUCACCGGAAGGGGUUCCGGAUGUUUCCCGAAAUGUUUGGGUACGAGAACACUUUAUUUGGGCCAAAGGGGAAAGCCCACAAGGUUUUUGGAAAGCGCAAAAGGAAGUUUUGCGGAGUCCAGGGGCCAGACGCCCAGGUCCCUAGUGUCUGGGUCCAGACGCCGAGAAACCUUGCGUCUGGCCCUGGAGUCCGAGAAGGACUCUUGCAUUUCGGGUGAAACCGACUUUGUGGAGGCUUUUACUCCAAGUUUCGACCCCAAGGCUCAACAUAGAAAUAGAGGGGUAGGGCUAGCACCCAAGACAGAUCAAGAAACACCAAGCCGUGUGCCGGCAACCCCGUCCCCUCUAGUUUAUCCUCCGUCCUAGUUUUCGUAGUGCUUAGGCGAAGCCCUGCAGAGAUUGUUCUUCACCAACACCGUCACCACGCCGUCGUGCUGUCGGAACUCAUCUACUACUUCGCCCCUCUUGCUGGAUCGAGAAGGCGAGGACGUCACCGAGCCGAACGUGUGCAGAACUCGGAGGUGUCGUGCUUUCGGUACUUGGAUCGGUCAGAUCGUGAAGACGUACGACUACAUCAACCGUGUUGAUAUAACGCUUCCGCGAACGGUCUACGAGGGUACAUAGACAACACUCUCCCCUAUCGUUGCUAUGCAUCACCAUGAUCUUGCAUGUGCGUAGGAAAUUUUGAAAUUACUACGUUCCCAAUAAAAUAAUGGUGAAGUGUCAUGUAGUCGACAUUCACAUAACACCACUAGAGGGAUGACAACAUACAUCUCAUCAAAAUAUCGAACGAAUACCAAAUUCACAUGACUACCACUACUUGGAAAAGGCCUACUAAUGGCGCACCAGUUUUGCCUACUAAUGGCGCAUCACUGGUGCGCCAUUAGUAUCACGCCACUAGUAUUUAUUACUAAUGGCGCACCACUGGUGCGUCAUUAGUAUCUGGUAUACUAAUGGUGCACCACCAUGCGCCAUUAGUAUGCCUCCCGGGGGCGAUAUUUAACCAUGUGCUUUGGCACACUAAUGGCGCACUGCGGAUGGAUGCGCCAUUAGUAUACUUGGCAUACUAAUGACGCACUGUUUGGUGAUGCGCCAUUAGUAUACUUUGGCAUACUAAUGGCGCACUCUGUAGUGAUGCGCCAUUAGUAUGAAUAUUAGGUUUUUUUUACUUUUCUGAUUUUUGCACAGGUUACAAAAUAUAUUAUUUGACAGAAUAUAGACAGUAGCACAUAGCAACAGCAGAUUCAUCGAAUACAAUAGAAGAUUAGUCUCCGAAUACAAUUCAUCAUAUUAGUCUCUGAAUUCAAAAGACCGAACAAAGAUAAAACGUUACAAGUCUCGAGACCACGAGUAUUGAGUUUUUCUUCACAUUACAAGUCGAUAUCGAUCAUCUAAACUACCAUCACAUAGAAGAGAGUUGCGGUCAUCAUGAUGAGCAUCAUCGUGAUGAAACUGGUCUUCAUCCGGUUCCUCCAACGCUCCCUCCUCUCUCCUGCUAGACAGCGGGCGUAUCUAGAUUCCGCCUCCGCCCUAGUGGUGUACCCUUUGUAAAUGUUACCGCUGAAAUGGUGAACCUGUCUCCGACACUCCUCCCAGUCGUCGUAGACUCCGGGAACCUUACCCUUGUACACGACAUACGACGGCAUCUCUAUGCACAAGCCAAACAACAUACAAUACAUACAUAAGCAAUAUAUAAGUAUGCAACAAAAGGAUCGGAAGAGAAAAGCAAGACAUUAAUAGCACGAUUCAUGGUCCUACUAAUAAAUAGCAUCGAUUACAUCUAAGUUGAACGACUGUCCAAACCAAAGAGACAUACAAUUCAUUAAAGUUUAAUUACAACAUGAGCCAAUCAAUGUUUCAGAACUACACAUCGUUACUUUCGACUCGACUCAUGGACAGGAGCGUGGAUGAAGCCGCCGUCUGUCGUGAUGGUCAUGAAAUCGCGGGCGUUUUCAGCCUGCAUUUGUAGCAUUCCGUCUAUCUCAAUGUUGGACGGUUGAUAUCUAAGGAAGAACUGCCCCGAGGUAUGAAGGACAUCUUGAUGGAUGAUAUCCGCAAACUCCGACUGGAUGCGAAAGAAUUCUUGUCUGAUGUUCGCGUCCUGGAUUGCCGACAAGCUCGCGGCCCAAUCUUUGAGAUUAUUUGGUAGCAGAAGGUGAUGAUGGUCCCUUACGAUCGCCUGCAUGUGAUGGAGGGCGUAGUAGGCAUCCUUUUGACCGCCAGGCGGCUGCUUGACGCAGCAGAAUGUCGUAUUGUGGGCGAACACGUGCUUGCCGUACUUACGAACUGCCCUGGUGAAGGUGCCUCCAGAUUUAGCGUAGCCGGGGAGAACAUUAUCAAGAACUUUCUUGAUAUUUGUGUAGUCUAUCUUGGAGUUACAGUUCGGGUCGAAAUACGUGGCCAUGGAAUAUUUCGGGCUUAAGAGGAUGAGUGUGCAAUGUGUGUCACUGCACAGAACACGGAAUGUUAGAAAAAAAGAACAAUCGAAAUCUAAGAAAUCAUAUGUUACGGGGCGGUUAAGGGAUGACUUACUCGGGAAAGUAAGCCACAAGGAAGUUAUCCUUAUCUGGGUUUGCCAGAAUGACGUCUUCGAGGUGUGAACUCGCGACUUGGCGAUCCCCAGCGCUGCUCAAGAGCUUGGCACGCAUGUAGAAGGGGUCGACGAUCACGAUGUCCGGGGUCUUGUCUCUAAUGAUCCGCAUCUCCAUACUCAGCGAAAACAGCCGAACGAAGGUGUAGUGCAGCGGAUGAAGGUUAAACAUAGCAAAGAUGUCAUCAAACCGCAGGACGAUCGUACCCCCGAUGUCGCCAUCCACAAAGCCCUUACCCUCUGGCACCUUGGCCACGAAAACCGGGUAUGCCACAUCAUUCUCACUGAGACGCCGCUUCUCCAAAGAAAGAACACUGUCGUGAAGACUCCGCAUAGCACCGGUUGCAGCAUUGAGCAUAUUUGUCGGUAGCAUCGCCCUACCCGCCACAUGCACCCUCCUCGAGAUAUCCUUAGGUGAAGGUGGCCCGUCCUGAGCACGGAUCAUACUCGGUGCUGGCUGGCUCGCACUGGCGCCCUUUUUAGUCUGUCGUUUCCGGCCCUUCUUCUUGAUCUGCUAUAAUGGGACCGAGUUCUGCUCACAGACCGCCUUCUUGAGCAUGUUGGGGCUGAUAAUAUUUGGCACCUCCGCUAUCUGAGGCUCGGUGAAGGCGGCAGCUGGAGGCAUCUCCUGAGAACUGAACGCCAGACGACGCCUGUUGCAAUUGGGUUUCUCCGCCGUACCAGCUAGAUCGGUGUCUUCCGCGGCGUCCUCAUAGCGGUGAGGUUCUUCCUCCAACUCCUGGGACAGCUCCCAGAAUUGCUUGCCACCCGAACCGCCGGCCUCAUCGUUGUGGGCCAUGUUUCGCUCUAAAUAGGAAAAAAGUUUGGUCAAAAAGUUGGUUAUUGUCAAGGAACAAGAUCAUGGUCUCAUCAUUUAGGGUUUGUCCACACCGAGGCAUCCUAAAAGCUAAGCUUUUAUCAUUUAGGGUUUGUCGACGCUGAGGCACCCUAAAAGCCUAAGCGUACAUCAUUUAGGUUAUCAUCGACACCGAGGCACCCUAUAGAAGUCAAGUUAAGUUUUCAUCAUUUAGGGUUUAUCGAUGCCGAGGCACCCUAGGUUGAGUGUAACACCCUCGAUGCGACUAUAUCUCCCACGUGUCGAGGCAUGACUUAGAGGCAUAAUCGCAUUGAAGGCAUAUGUCGCAAGUGAGGCAAUCUUCACACAACCCAUGUACAUAUAAUAUAAAGGGGAAAAUAAUAAUAAUAGUUGGCUUACACUCACCACGUCACAUCAAGGUACAUAAAUAGCAUCCAUCAUACAAACACUCAUGGCCCGACUACGGCGCCGAAAUAGAAAAGACUCCCCAACAUGCGACUAAUCCCUGAAUCGAACACCGAGCAGGCACCACUACUGAUCAUCAGGAAAAGAAACAUAGUAUCGCUGAGAGUCCUCGUCGUACUCCCACUUCAGCUCGAACGCGCCCUCCGGAGGAGUAUCAUCGGUCCCUGCAUCUGGUGUAAUAGUAAUCUGUGAGCCACAAGGACUCAGCAAUCUCGCACCCUCGCGAUCAAGACUAUUUAAGCUAAAUAGGUAAGGAAGGGGUAAGGUGAGUGGAGCUGCAGCAAGCGACUAGCAUAUAUGGUGGCUAACUUAUACGCAAAAGAGAGCGAGAAGAGAAGGCAAGGCACGAGCGGAAACUAAAUAGAUCAGGCUACGCAAACAUAACUCCAACGCCGUGUCCACUUCCCGGACUCCGCCGAGAAGAGGCCAUCACGGCAACACACGCAGUUGAUUCAUUUUAAUUAAUUAGGUUCAAGUUUUCUACAACCGGACAUUAACAAAUUCCCAUCUGCCCAUAACCGCGGGCACGGCUUUCGAAAGAUCAAUCCCUGCAGGGGGGUCCCAACUUAGCCCAUAACAAGCUCUCACGGUCAACAAAGGAAUAGACCUCCACCCAGGACCCACCGAUCAGACUCGGUAUCCCGGUACAACAAGAUGAUUCGACAGGUCAAAACUAGUCCAGCAACACCGCCCGAAUGCGCCGACAAAUCCCGAUAGGAGCUGCACAUAUCUCUUUCUCAGGGCACACUCAGAUUGUCUAAACUUCCGGUAGGCCAGCCCAGAGUUGCCCCUGGUGGCCACCGGCGGCUGACGUUCCGGACCAACACUCAGAGGAGCACUGGCCCGUGGGGGGCUAAAAUAAAGAUGACCCUCGGGCUCCGGAAACCCAAGGGAAAGAAAAGGGUAGGUGGCAAAUGGUAAAACCAAUGUUGGGCAUUGCUGGAAAAGCUUUAAUCAAGGCGAACUAUCAAGGGGUUCCCAUUAUAGCCCAACCGCGUAAGGGACGCAACAAUCCGGAAACAUAACACCGAUAUGACGGAAACUAGGGGGGCAAGAGUGGAACAAAACACUAGGCGAGAGGCCGAGCCUUCCACCCUUUACCAAGUAUAUAGGUGAGUAAAGAUAACAUAGCAAUAUAAUGAUAUACCAACAGUAAAUAAAUGUUCCAACAAGGAACGGCUCCAAUCUUCACCUGCAACUAACAACGCUAUAAGAAGGGCUGAGCAAAGCAGUAACAUAGCCAAUCAAUGGUUUUCUAGGACAAAGGUGGGUUAGAGGCUCAAUCAUGGCAAUUGGGAGGCUGACAAGCAAGUGGUAGGCAUUGUAGCAUUGGCAAAGCAAAAGAGCGAGCAAACUAGCAUAGCAAAGAUAGUAGUGAUUUCAAGGGUGUGAUCAUCUUGCCUGCACAGUUGUCAGAAUUGACUGGAUCCUCAAAAGCAAACUCAACGGGCUCCUCGUUAGCAAACUCGUCUCCUGGCUCUACCCAACAACACAAACAAGCAACAAGGAUACAAUCAACCACGUGCAAAGGCAACCAAUACGAUGCAAAGAUGAUAUGCUAUGCGGGAUGCAAUGCGGGAUGCAAAAUGCAACAUGUAACAGGAAAUGCAUGAACCUGGCCUCAACAUGGAAAUCCAAGUGUGCCACUGGAUAGAGGGGAAGAAAUCCCCUGAAAACGAUAUAAAGAUCAUGGCAAUCGGAGCUACGGUUAAGAAAUGGCAAGCGUUUUACUAAACGAACCGAUCUGCGAUUUACAGCAACAUGCCUCCUAAAUGCAACAAAAUUAACAUGCUACAGCCACCCAACAUGAAAACAAAUUACAUGGCAGUGAUGUACUCAUCAAGCUUAACAAAUCAUCAUGACUGAGGCAUAGGCAAAAUCAUCCAUUAAGGGCUUCAAACAAGCAUGGCAAAACUGAAUAAGCAAAACAGAUUUCAGACUUAGCGAAAUUAACGCUAGUCUGAAAUUUCAGACCACGAUGCCCUCUUCAGAGCAGCAAAACAACAUGAAGGAAAACCUGAACAUGGCAAGUAAGAGCAUGGCAUGGAGCUACUCAACAAGCUUAACAAAACACCUGAAAUGACCUGCGGCCAAAAGGGUUCACAAAAUACUCUACCGAGCACACGAACAUCGAUGAAACACAAUCAGUUUUCAGACUUAGUGAAAACUGGGACAUGCUGAAAUAAUAACUCACGGAGGCAUAUAAACGAGCUCGAUGCUCUCACUACGGUGCAAGUCAUGGCAAGGAAAGCAUAUAUCCAUUAAGAAGGCACAAAAUGCUAUCUAGACAUGGCAAGAACAAUGGCAUAGCAUGCAUGGAUCACUAGCAAUCACUCCGGCAAAAUCGCAAAAGAGUUAACGAUCUGCCCAAAACAGCAACUAUCCAAAAGUUGAGCUCGAUUGAGUCAACCUAGGGUGCUCCAACAUAACAAGUAAAGACAUGGAUGGAUUAAGCACAACAAGCUUAACAAACCACUCUUACUGAUCAUCCUCAAAAGAGGCACGGAUCACUAGGAAACAAGCCGGACAUAUAGCAUCGUGAACUAAAACGGCUCAGACUUAGUGAAAAUUACUAAGUCCCUGAAAUCUGAAAUCUCAGGUAGCCCUCUUCGCAAGCUUGCACAAGACAACACACACAUCCUAAAAAUACAUGGAAGGCACCUCUGGAAAGAAGACAACAUGCUUAACAAUUCAUCCCAAAAGGGCACAGGCAUAUCAUGCACGGAUUAAAUAUGGCAAAAAUGACAAAAGUGCAUGUUGGAUCAACGGAUCUGCAAUUUAACUCAACAUGCCUCCUUCCAACAGCAUUUUGGGCAACAAGAUGAUCUCAAAUGCAAAUGAUGCAAUCGGAUGAAAUGAUGUACUCGUCGAGACGAAGAAUUUGACAUAUCAUACGCCCAAAUCGGAGCUACGGAUGCAAAGUUAUGGCAGGUCAAACAUGAGCAUAUGGGAUAAAAUCCCUGGGACUUGGAAGAAAAAAAAAGGGGACCCUAGGGUUUACUGUUCACCCAGAUCCGAUCCGGCGCAACACUGUAGCUCGGGCCCGGGACCGAGCCCGGCUAUGGCGGCGGCGGCGGAUCCCGCCGGAUCCGGUGAGGGCGCGGGGCGCCGGCGUCGAGGGGAGGCCGGANNNNNNNNNNNNNNNNNNNNNNNNNNNNNNNNNNNNNNNNNNNNNNNNNNNNNNNNNNNNNNNNNNNNNNNNNNNNNNNNNNNNNNNNNNNNNGGUGGCGGCGGCGGUGCCACGUGGCAGCGGGCGACGGGCUGCGGGCGGAUGUCCGGUGCGGCCGGACGUGUCCGGCGCGCCGGAGGGAGUUUUUUUGGGUUUCGGGGGGAGGGAGAGAUCCGAAAAACGGGGGGUCUAUUUAUAGACCUAGAGGGAGCUAGGAGAGUCCAAAUGAGGUGCGGUUUUUGCCCACACGAUCGUGAUCGAAUGACCGAGACGAUGGAGCUGAGUUUGGUGGGUUUUGGGCCAAAAUGGAGGGGUGUUGGGCUGCACACACACGAGGCCUUUUCGGUCCCUCGGUUAACCGUUGGAGUAUCAAACGAAGUCCAAAUGACCCGAAACUUGACAGGCGGUCUACCGGUAGUAAACCAAGGCCGCAUGGCAAGUCUCGGUCCAAUCCGGAAAUGUUUAAUCCCCACACACGAAAGAAAGCUAGAAAUGGCCACCGGAGGAGAACGAAGCGCCGGAAUGCAAAACGGACAACGGGGAAAAUGCUCGAAUGCAUGAGAUGAACAUGUAUGAAAAUGCGAUGCACGUGACGACAUGAUAUGAGAUGCACGAAAACAAAACAACACACGGGGACAAAGACCCGAACCCGAGAAUUAAAUAUAACUUAAUGCCGGAAACGGCAUGAGUCGGAGUACAAUUGGGGAAGGUUACAUAUGGGGCGUUAAAACACUCCACCACUACGAAAAGAUCUCGUCCCGAGAUCUAGGGCUGAAAGAACUCCGGGUACUCAGAACGGAGGUGAUCCUCGCGUUCCCAGGUAGCUUCACGGUCGGAAUGGUGUGACCACUUGACUUUGAGAAACUUGAUUGACUUGUUGCGAGUUUUGCGUUCAGUCUCUUCAAGGAUUGCAACUGGGUGCUCACGGUAGGAGAGAUCUUCUUGGAGCUCAAUGUCCUCGAAGUUGACGGUGCGCUCGGGCGCCUUGAAGCACUUUCGGAGUUGCGAGACGUGGAACACAUCAUGAACAUUGGCAAAGGUUGCAGGAAGCUCGAGUUGAUAGGCGAGGUCGCCUCUCUUGCUGACGAUCUUGAAAGGCCCGACGUAUCUUGGGGCAAGCUUCCCUUUGAUACCGAAGCGACGAGUCCCUUUCAUAGGAGAGACGCGGAGGUAGACAUGAUCUCCGAUCUCGAAGGCCAAAUCACGGUGCUUGCUGUCGUAGUAGCUCUUCUGACGAGACUGGGCUGCUUUGAGGUUAUCACGUAUGACCUUGCACAUUUCUUCUGCUUCUGUGAUCAAGUCAUUACCCAGCAGCUGACGUUCACCGGUUUCAGACCAGUUGAGAGGUGUACGACACUUCCUACCAUACAGAAUUUCAAACGGGGCCUUGCCGGAACUUGCUUGGAAACUGUUGUUGUACGAGAAUUCAGCAUAAGGAAGGCAAUCCUCCCACUUCAUGCCGAAGGAGAUAACACAAGCCCUGAGCAUAUCUUCAAGAAUCUGGUUGACACGCUCGACUUGACCGCUUGUUUGAGGAUGGAAAGCAGUGCUGAAGCGAAUGUUGGUGCCCAUGGCCUUCUGAAAAGAAUCCCAAAACUUGGAGGUAAAGAUGCUGCCACGGUCUGAAGAUAUCACUUGAGGAAUACCGUGCAGAGAGACAAUGCGGGAGGUGUAGAGCUCCGCCAAUUGAGCUGCAGUGAUUGACUCUUUGAUAGGCAAGAAAUGAGCCACUUUGGUCAGCUUGUCGAUGACGACGAAUAUAGCAUCAUUGCCACGCUUGGACUUAGGAAACCCAGUCACGAAGUCCAUUUCAAUGUGGUCAAACUUCCAUUCUGGAAUGGCGAGAGGUUGGAGGAGACCUGCUGGCCUUUGGUGUUCUGCUUUCACUCUUCUGCAGACAUCACAUUCAUUCACGAAUUGAGCGAUCUCGCGCUUCAUUCGAGUCCACCAAUAAGUUUGCUUCAGGUCUUGAUACAUCUUCGUGCUCCCAGGGUGGAUGGAGAGGAGAGAGUUGUGAGCCUCAUUCAUGAUCACUUUACGAAGUUCACCUUUGGGCACAACAAUUCUAUCCUCGAAGAAGAGAGUGUCCUUGUCAUCAAGUCGGUAGCACUUGUACUUGGACUGACUCUUUGCAAUACCGAUCUUCACCUUUUUCACCAUAGCAUCAAGAAGCUGGGCUUGGCGAAUCUGGUCUUCCAAGGUAGGAGAAACUUGAAGGUUGGCAAGGAAACCUUGAGGAACAACUUGCAGAUUAAGUUUGCGGAAGGCUUCACAAAGCUCGGGUUGAUAAGGCUUGAGAAUCAGACUGUUGCAAUAUGCUUUUCUGCUCAAAGCGUCAGCAAUCACAUUAGCCUUGCCUGGAGUAUACUCGAUACUCGGAUUGUACUCUUGAAUCAUCUCGACCCAUCGUGUCUGCCUGAGGUUGAGAUUAGGCUGAGUGAAGAUGUACUUGAGACUCUUGUGAUCAGUGAAAAUGUCCACUUUCCUUCCCAAGAGAAGAUGUCUCCAAGUCAACAAUGCGUGCACAACUGCCGCCAACUCAAGAUCAUGAGUGGGGUAGUUCUUCUCAUUUGGCUUCAACUGGCGAGAGGUAUAAGCAACAACUUUCUUCUCUUGCAUCAGUACUGCACCGAGACCUUGGAGAGAGGCAUCACAAAAGACUUCGUACGGCUUGGUUUCAUCAGGCGGAGUUAGAACUGGAGCAGUGAUCAAUUUCUCUUUCAAAGCGUUGAAAGCAACAUCACACUCCGGAGACCAAACGUACUUGACGUGCUUCUGAAGAAGAUUUGAGAGAGGCUUCGCGAUCUUGGAGAAGUUUUCAACGAAUCUUCGGCAAUAACUUGCAAGACCGAGGAAGCUACGGAGUUGCUUCACAUUCUGAGGAGGUUCCCAAUUAACGAUUGCAGACACCUUCUCAGGAUCCACGGAAAUGCCCUUGGCAGAGAUAAUAUGCCCAAGAUAAAGAACUUCAUCGAGCCAAAACUCACACUUAGAGAACUUGGCAUAGAAUUGAUGUUCCCUUAGCUUGUCAAGAACCAAACGCAAGUGUUUGGCAUGAUCUUCCUUGUUCUUCGAGAAAACCAGGAUAUCAUCGAGAUAGACCAAAACAAAGUCGUUGGUGUAGGGGUUGAAGAUGAAGUUCAUCAUGCGAGAGAACGUCGGAGGAGCAUUAGCGAGGCCAAAAGACAUAACUGUGUAUUCAUAUGACCCAUAGCUUGUUCUGAACACCGUCUUCGGAAUAUCUUGUUCACGAAUGCGAAUUUGAUGAUAACCCAUACGGAGAUCAAGCUUGGAGAAUACCUGGGCACCCUUGAGUUGUUCGAAUAGCUCAUUAAUGUUGGGAAGUGGAUAUUUGUUCUUGAUGGUCUUCUUGUUCAAUGGACGAUAAUCAACACAAAGUCGGUCCGUUCCAUCCUUCUUCUUCACAAAAAGAACACCACAACCCCACGGAGAAGUACUAGGCCGAAUGAGACCCAUACUUUCUUGCUUAUCGAGCUGUUUCUUCAACUCCUUCAACUCUUCGGGGCCGAGCUUGUAAGGCCGCUUGCACACCGGUUCCGUACCGGGCUCAAGUUCAAUAACGAAUUCAACGGGCCGGUUAGGAGGCAUGCCUGGGAGUUCUUCAGGGAAGACAUCUUGAUACUCACAAACAACCGGAAUCUGCGAAAUAGCAUCCAAUUCACCCUUUUCAUUGAGAGAGAACAACCAGAUGGUAUUAUCCCGAGCAGCAAAGACAAUUACUUCCUCAGACGAAUGAGUCAGUUGAAUCUGCUUGGCUGCGCAAUCCAGCUGAGCUUUAUGUUUAGAGAGCCAGUCCAUCCCAAGAAUGAGAUCGAUAUCGGAAUUGCCAAGAAUCAUCGGGGAAGCCAGAAACUUAAAGUCACCCAGCGAGAUAGAAAUAUCCGAAACUUCAUAGUUAGCAAGCAAGCAUUUGCUCGGAGAGACGACUGCUAAUGGCUGAUGCAUAACUUGAGAAAACCACCCGUGCUUAGAUGCAAAAGGCUUCGAGAUGAAACAAUGUGAUGCACCUGUAUCAAAAAGUACUUUUGCAGGAACAUUGUUAACAGGAAGGUUACCCAUGAUCACAUCUGACGAAUCCUCUGCUUGAGCUGCAUUCACCAUAUUGACCUUGGCGUGCUUGGGAUUAUGCUUGACAACCGCUGUACUUGCCGAUCUGACAGGAGGAGGAGGAGGAAGACGCCUCUGGUUGAAACACUUGUUGGCGUAGUGACCCUUCUGUUGGCACUUGUUGCACGUGACCUCUGAGAGCGGAUGGUGAUACGGAGCACUCGAUCUUGGAGCUUGAGACGAAGUCUUGUUCUGAAAGCCUGGGUUGGGUGGGUGGGAAGAACCACUGCCACCUUUGCUCUUCUGCUGAUACGGCUGACGGAACGGAGGAGGAGGAAGCCAAUACUUCUGCUGCUUGGUCACUUGAGUAGAGGACGAAGACGAAGUGUCUCUGACUCGCUUCCUGGAAGCAUCACACCUGAGCUGAGCAGCCUCUUGCUUCAGUGCCAUGUUGUAGAACUCAUCGUAUCUCAGUGGCUCGAAGAGGACAAGAGCGAGCUGAAUUUCUUCACGAAGACCACCCCUGAACUGAUAGAUCAUGCUCUUCUCAUCAGGAACAUCCUGCUUGGCAAAACGGGCGAGCUUCUGGAACAACUUGUUGUAGUCAUAGACAGACAAAGAGCCUUGCUUCAGAUUGCGAAAUUCUUCAUGUUUGCUUUCAGUCACACUUUGAGGAAUGUGAUGAGCGCGGAAAUCACGACGGAAAUCAUCCCAAGUGAUCAAACGUCCACCUCUGGAAUCCCGGUACUGCUGAAACCACUCUGCGGCCUGAUCCUUGAGCUGGAAAGACGCGAACUUGACGAAAUCUUCAGGUCUGACGUUGCUACAUUCAAAAUGCUUGCCCAGAUCGACUAACCAAUCAUCAGCAUCGGUAGCCUCAACGCAGUUACUGAACGUCUUUGGACCAUUUGCGAGGAACUGAUGCAGAGUUGCAAACUGGUUCUGGUUGCUGCCUUGAUUCGCUUGACUGCUUUGAUUCCGCUCUUGGAUGAUUUGCAUGAUCAGCUGAGUAUUUGCAUUAGUAGCAGCCAUCACAGCCUGCCAUGCUUCCGGAGGAGGCGGAGGCGGCGGAGGAUCUUGAUUCUGGUUCUGACUGGUGCUCUUAGCGGGAGCCAUCCUGAAGAGGUUGACCACCAUUAGCACACAAAUAAAGGAAUAUUGAAGGUGAAACCAACGGAAUGAAAAUUGCAACAUAAAGUCUUCACAUCCGAACAAAAUGAACGAAUGCACUUCUCUUGAAGUGGUCACAUAUUCCUAAAUUGCGAAGCCACGAAGAAUCAGGUAGAAUAGGUACAACAACGAGGGAUGGAAUCAACAUAAGACGUCGAAGAAGAACGAAUACUACAACUCGAAAUAAAACCAAGGGUUGGCUUGCGGAAUAAGCCGGAACAAACACAUGAUAGAAAUUUCGUCCGAAGUGUUCGUGGUAGGACCUACACGGGCUCGACCGUACAGCACCAUCAUGUACAAGGCAGUGCACAUGACAUACGAAGCGUCCCCGAGUCAGCAUAGCCAAGGACUCUUUAAGACACAACGAGGCCACUGUAAAAUCAACCGUGAAUAGGCGAACCACUAGACGUCGAACCCCAAUUUCAUAUCACACAUCUGUUGGAAAGAUAUCCUAAGGCUACUUGAAUUCCCACCUAUGAAAUUCCCGAAACUUUCCGGUUAUGCAAUCAGGUGUUGAGGAUACAGGGGAAGCAUAAUAUCUCACCCAAGCUAGCAAAUCCUACAUCCAGCUGCAUCCAUCCUUCAACACAGAACCAAGAAACCUUCGGAAACCAUCUAUAUCAACCUUCGAAAAACAUCCGUUAUACAAGUUAUGGCGAUACUCCCGAACUCCCGCCCCAGUACUGGGUGGCGUCGAGGUUAUCUCACCAACGAACUGCAUAAAGGAGAUUUUCGAUGUCGCGCACAUAUCUCAAGUAUACCAGAAUUGCAACGAUAGAAUUAUGAUGACAACACCUUAGAGCUCAACUCCCCGGGACACUUCCACUAAACCCCUGACAGGAGGCACCAAGACAGUAUUCUCAUCAUAAGCCAUCGGAACAAAACUAAGAUACUCGCGUGAUCCUAAAAAAAUUUUAGUGAAAUUUGAGAAGAGAAGAGUCAAAACUCUACGUCAGGAUGCCUUACCAGAGCGAUGAGGAGACUGGGAAGUAAAAAGAAUUCCUAAGCUCUCCGAUAUAUAAUUCCUAAGGACUCAAAACAUUUUUCUAGACACAACUCGGCUGCUAAAAACGAUCAAGCAAUGGGCCUCCAAAGGUCGGGGAAGGCUCUGAUUACCAACUUGUAACACCCUCGAUGCGACUAUAUCUCCCACGUGUCGAGGCAUGACUUAGAGGCAUAAUCGCAUUGAAGGCAUAUGUCGCAAGUGAGGCAAUCUUCACACAACCCAUGUACAUAUAAUAUAAAGGGGAAAAUAAUAAUAAUAGUUGGCUUACACUCGCCACGUCACAUCAAGGUACAUAAAUAGCAUCCAUCAUACAAACACUCAUGGCCCGACUACGGCGCCGAAAUAGAAAAGACUCCCCAACAUGCGACUAAUCCCUGAAUCGAACCCCGAGCAGGCACCACUACUGAUCAUCAGGAAAAGAAACAUAGUAUCGCUGAGAGUCCUCGUCGUACUCCCACUUCAGCUCGAACGCGCCCUCCGGAGGAGUAUCAUCGGUCCCUGCAUCUGGUGUAAUAGUAAUCUGUGAGCCACAAGGACUCAGCAAUCUCGCACCCUCGCGAUCAAGACUAUUUAAGCUAAAUAGGUAAGGAAGGGGUAAGGUGAGUGGAGCUGCAGCAAGCGACUAGCAUAUAUGGUGGCUAACUUAUACGCAAAAGAGAGGGAGAAGCGAAGGCAAGGCACGAGCGGAAACUAAAUAGAGCAGGCUACGCAAACAUAACUCCAACGCCGUGUCCACUUCCCGGACUCCGCCGAGAAGAGGCCAUCACGGCAACACACGCAGUUGAUUCAUUUUAAUUAAUUAGGUUCAAGUUUUCUACAACCGGACAUUAACAAAUUCCCAUCUGCCCAUAACCGCGGGCAUGGCUUUCGAAAGAUCAACCCCUGCAGGGGGGUCCCAACUUAGCCCAUAACAAGCUCUCACGGUCAACGAAGGAAUAGACCUCCACCCAGGACCCACCGAUCAGACUCGGUAUCCCGGUACAACAAGAUGAUUCGACAGGUCAAAACUAGUCCAGCAACACCGCCCGAAUGCGCCGACAAAUCCCGAUAGGAGCUGCACAUAUCUCUUUCUCAGGGCACACUCAGAUUGUCUAAACUUCCGGUAGGCCAGCCCAGAGUUGCCCCUGGUGGCCACCGGCGGCUGACAUUCCGGACCAACACUCAGAGGAGCACUGGCCCGUGGGGGGCUAAAAUAAAGAUGACCCUCGGGCUCCGAAAACCCAAGGGAAAGAAAAGGGUAGGUGGCAAAUGGUAAAACCAAUGUUGGGCAUUGCUGGAAAAGCUUUAAUCAAGGCGAACUAUCAAGGGGUUCCCAUUAUAGCCCAACCGCGUAAGGGACGCAACAAUCCGGGAACAUAACACCGAUAUGACGGAAACUAGGGGGGCAAGAGUGGAACAAAACACUAGGCGAGAGGCCGAGCCUUCCACCCUUUACCAAGUAUAUAGGUGAGUAAAGAUAACAUAGCAAUAUAAUGAUAUACCAACAGUAAAUAAAUGUUCCAACAAGGAACGGCUCCAAUCUUCACCUGCAACUAACAACGCUAUAAGAAGGGCUGAGCAAAGCGGUAACAUAGCCAAUCAAUGGUUUUCUAGGACAAAGGUGGGUUAGAGGCUCAAUCAUGGCAAUUGGGAGGCUGACAAGCAAGUGGUAGGCAUCGUAGCAUUGGCAAAGCAAAAGAGCGAGCAAACUAGCAUAGCAAAGAUAGUAGUGAUUUCAAGGGUGUGAUCAUCUUGCCUGCACAGUUGUCAGAAUUGACUGGAUCCUCAAAAGCAAACUCAACGGGCUCCUCGUUAGCGAACUCGUCUCCUGGCUCUACCCAACAACACAAACAAGCAACAAGGAUACAAUCAACCACGUGCAAAGGCAACCAAUACGAUGCAAAGAUGAUAUGCUAUGCGGGAUGCAAUGCGGGAUGCAAAAUGCAACAUGUAACAGGAAAUGCAUGAACCUGGCCUCAACUUGGAAAUCCAAGUGUGCCACUGGAUAGAGGGGAAGAAAUCCCCUGAAAACGAUAUAAAGAUCAUGGCAAUCGGAGCUACGGUUAAGAAAUGGCAAGCGUUUUACUAAACGAACCGAUCUGCGAUUUACAGCAACAUGCCUCCUAAAUGCAACAAAAUUAACAUGCUACAGCCACCCAACAUGAAAACAAAUUACAUGGCAGUGAUGUACUCAUCAAGCUUAACAAAUCAUCAUGACUGAGGCAUAGGCAAAAUCAUCCAUUAAGAGCUUCAAACAAGCAUGGCAAAACUGAAUAAGCAAAACAGAUUUCAGACUUAGCGAAAUUAACGCUAGUCUGAAAUUUCAGACCACGAUGCCCUCUUCGGAGCAGCAAAACAACAUGAAGGAAAACCUGAACAUGGCAAGUAAGAGCAUGUCAUGGAGCUACUCAACAAGCUUAACAAAACACCCGAAAUGACCUGCGGCCAAAAGGGUUCACAAAAUACUCUACCGAGCACACGAACAUCGAUGAAACACAAUCAGUUUUCAGACUUAGUGAAAACUGGGACAUGCUGAAAUAAUAACUCACGGAGGCAUAUAAACGAGCUCGAUGCUCUCACUACGGUGCAAUUCAUGGCAAGGCAAGCAUAUAUCCAUUAAGAAGGCACAAAAUGCUAGCUAGACAUGGCAAGAAAAAUGGCAUAGCAUGCAUGGAUCACUAGCAAUCACUCCGGCAAAAUCGCAAAAGAGUUAACGAUCUGCCCAAAACAGCAACUAUCCAAAAGUUGAGCUCGAUUGAGUCAACCUAGGGUGCUCCAACAUAACAAGUAAAGACAUGGAUGGAUUAAGAACAACAAGCUUAACAAAUCACUCUUACUGAUCAUCCUCAAAAGAGGCAGGGAUCACUAGGAAACAAGCCGGACAUAUAGCAUCGUGAACUAAAACGGCUCAGACUUAGUGAAAAUUACUAAGUCCCUGAAAUCUGAAAUCUCAGGUAGCCCUCUUCGCAAGCUUGCACAAGACAACACGCACAUCCUAAAAAUACAUGGAAGGCACCUCUGGAAAGAAGACAACAUGCUUAACAAUUCAUCCCAAAGGGGCACAGGCAUAUCGUGCACGGAUUAAAUAUGGAAAAAAUGACAAAAGUGCAUGUUGGAUUAACGGAUCUGCAAUUUAACUCAACAUGCCUCCUUCCAACAGCAUUUUGGGCAACAAGAUGACCUCAAAUGCAAAUGAUGCAAUGGAAUGAAAUGAUGUACUCGUCGAGACGAAGAAUUUGACAUAUCAUACGCCCAAAUCGGAGCUACGGAUGCAAAGUUAUGGCAGGUCAAACAUGAGCAUAUGGGGUAAAAUCCCUGGGACUUGGAAGAAAAAAAAAGGGGACCCUAGGGUUUACUGUUCACCCAGAUCCGAUCCGGCGCAACACUGUAGCUCGGGCCCGGGACCGAGCCCGGCGAUGGCGGCGGCGGCGGAUCCCGCCGGAUCCGGCGAGGGCGCGGGGCGCCGGCGUCGAGGGGAGNNNNNNNNNNNNNNNNNNNNNNNNNNNNNNNNNNNNNNNNNNNNNNNNNNNNNNNNNNNNNNNNNNNNNNNNNNNNNNNNNNNNNNNNNNNNNNNNNNNNNNNNNNNNNNNNNNNNNNNNNNNNNNNNNNNNNNNNNNNNNNNNNNNNNNNNNNNNNNNNNNNNNNNNNNNNNNNNNNNNNNNNNNNNNNNNNNNNNNNNNNNNNNNNNNNNNNNNNNNNNNNNNNNNNNNNNNNNNNNNNNNNNNNNNNNNNNNNNNNNNNNNNNNNNNNNNNNNNNNNNNNNNNNNNNNNNNNNNNNNNNNNNNNNNNNNNNNNNNNNNNNNNNNNNNNNNNNNNNNNNNNNNNNNNNNNNNNNNNNNNNNNNNNNNNNNNNNNNNNNNNNNNNNNNNNNNNNNNNNNNNNNNNNNNNNNNNNNNNNNNNNNNNNNNNNNNNNNNNNNNNNNNNNNNNNNNNNNNNNNNNNNNNNNNNNNNNNNNNNNNNNNNNNNNNNNNNNNNCGGCGGGCCUCCGCGGCGGCGGCGGCGGCGGUGCCACGUGGCAGCGGGCGACGGGCUGCGGGCGGAUGUCCGGUGCGGCCGGACGUGUCCGGCGCGCCGGAGGGAGUUUUUUUGGGUUUCGGGGGGAGGGAGAGAUCCGAAAAACGGGGGGUCUAUUUAUAGACCUAGAGGGAGCUAGGAGACUCCAAAUGAGGUGCGAUUUUCGCCCACACGAUCGUGAUCGAACGACCGAGACGAUGGAGCUGAGUUUGGUGGGUUUUGGGCCAAAAUGGAGGGGUGUUGGGCUGCACACACACGAGGCCUUUUCGGUCCCUCGGUUAACCGUUGGAGUAUCAAACGAAGUCCAAAUGACCCGAAACUUGACAGGCGGUCUACCGGUAGUAAACCAAGGCCGCAUGGCAAGUCUCGGUCCAAUCCGGAAAUGUUUAAUCCCCACACACGAAAGAAAGCUAGAAAUGGCCACCGGAGGAGAACGAAGCGCCGGAAUGCAAAACGGACAACGGGGAAAAUGCUCGAAUGCAUGAGAUGAACAUGUAUGCAAAUGCGAUGCACGUGACGACAUGAUAUGAGAUGCACGAAAACAAAACAACACACGGGGACAAAGACCCGAACCCGAGAAUUAAAUAUAACUUAAUGCCGGAAACGGCAUGAGUCGGAGUACAAUUGGGGAAGGUUACAUAUGGGGCGUUAAAACACUCCACCACUACGAAAAGAUCUCGUCCCGAGAUCUAGGGCUGAAAGAACUCCGGGUACUCAGAACGGAGGUGAUCCUCGCGUUCCCAGGUAGCUUCACGGUCGGAAUGGUGUGACCACUUGACUUUGAGAAACUUGAUUGACUUGUUGCGAGUUUUGCAUUCAGUCUCUUCAAGGAUUGCAACUGGGUGCUCACGGUAGGAGAGAUCUUCUUGGAGCUCAAUGUCCUCGAAGUUGACGGUGCGCUCGGGCGCCUUGAAGCACUUUCGGAGUUGCGAGACGUGGAACACAUCAUGAACAUUGGCAAAGGUUGCAGGAAGCUCGAGUUGAUAGGCGAGGUCGCCUCUCUUGCUGACGAUCUUGAAGGGCCCGAUGUAUCUUGGGGCAAGCUUCCCUUUGAUACCGAAGCAACGAGUCCCUUUCAUAGGAGAGACGCGGAGGUAGACAUGAUCUCCGAUCUCGAAGGCCAAAUCACGGUGCUUGCUGUCGUAGUAGCUCUUCUGACGAGACUGGGCUGCUUUGAGGUUAUCACGUAUGACCUUGCACAUUUCUUCUGCUUCUGUGAUCAAGUCAUUACCCAGCAGCUGACGUUCACCGGUUUCAGACCAGUUGAGAGGUGUACGGCACUUCCUACCAUACAGAAUUUCAAACGGUGCCUUGCCGGAACUUGCUUGGAAACUGUUGUUGUAUGAGAAUUCAGCAUAAGGAAGGCAAUCCUCCCACUUCAUGCCGAAGGAGAUAACACAAGCCCUGAGCAUAUCUUCAAGAAUCUGGUUGACACGCUCGACUUGACCGCUUGUUUGAGGAUGGAAAGCAGUGCUGAAGCGAAUGUUGGUGCCCAUGGCCUUCUGAAAAGAAUCCCAAAACUUGGAGGUAAAGAUGCUGCCACGGUCUGAAGAUAUCACUUGAGGAAUACCGUGCAGAGAGACAAUGCGGGAGGUGUAGAGCUCCGCCAAUUGAGCUGCAGUGAUUGACUCUUUGAUAGGCAAGAAAUGAGCCACUUUGGUCAGCUUGUCGAUGACGACGAAUAUAGCAUCAUUGCCACGCUUGGACUUAGGAAACCCAGUCACGAAGUCCAUUUCAAUGUGGUCAAACUUCCAUUUUGGAAUGGCGAGAGGUUGGAGGAGACCUGCUGGCCUUUGGUGUUCUGCUUUCACUCUUCUGCAGACAUCACAUUCAUUCACGAAUUGAGCGAUCGCGCGCUUCAUUCGAGUCCACCAAUAAGUUUGCUUCAGGUCUUGAUACAUCUUCGUGCUCCCAGGGUGGAUGGAGAGGAGAGAGUUGUGAGCCUCAUUCAUGAUCACUUUACGAAGUUCACCUUUGGGCACAACAAUUCUAUCCUCGAAGAAGAGAGUGUCCUUGUCAUCAAGUCGGUAGCACUUGUACUUGGACUGACUCUUUGCAAUACCGAUCUUCACCUUUUUCACCAUAGCAUCAAGAAGCUGGGCUUGGCGAAUAUGGUCUUCCAAGGUAGGAGAAACUUGAAGGUUGGCAAGGAAACCUUGAGGAACAACUUGCAGAUUAAGUUUGCGGAAGGCUUCACAAAGCUCGGGUUGAUAAGGCUUGAGAAUCAGACUGUUGCAAUAUGCUUUUCUGCUCAAAGCGUCAGCAAUCACAUUAGCCUUGCCUGGAGUAUACUCGAUACUCGGAUUGUACUCUUGAAUCAUCUCGACCCAUCGAGUCUGCCUGAGGUUGAGAUUAGGCUGAGUGAAGAUGUACUUGAGACUCUUGUGAUCAAUGAAAAUGUCCACUUUCCUUCCCAAGAGAAGAUGUCUCCAAGUCAACAAUGCGUGCACAACUGCCGCCAACUCAAGAUCAUGAGUGGGGUAGUUCUUCUCAUUUGGCUUCAACUGGCGAGAGGUAUAAGCAACAACUUUCUUCUCUUGCAUCAGUACUGCACCGAGACCUUGGAGAGAGGCAUCACAAAAGACCUCGUACGGCUUGGUUUCAUCAGGCGGAGUUAGAACUGGAGCAGUGAUCAAUUUCUCUUUCAAAGCGUUGAAAGCAACAUCACACUCCGGAGACCAAACGUACUUGACGUGCUUCUGAAGAAGAUUUGAGAGAGGCUUCGCGAUCUUGGAUAAGUUUUCAACGAAUCUUCGGCAAUAACUUGCAAGACCGAGGAAGCUACGGAGUUGCUUCACAUUCUGAGGAGGUUCCCAAUUAACGAUUGCAGACACCUUCUCAGGAUCCACGGAAAUGCCCUUGGCAGAGAUAAUAUGCCCAAGAUAAAGAACUUCAUCGAGCCAAAACUCACACUUAGAGAACUUGGCAUAGAAUUGAUGUUCCCUUAGCUUGUCAAGAACCAAACGCAAGUGUUUGGCAUGAUCUUCCUUGUUCUUCGAGAAAACCAGGAUAUCAUCGAGAUAGACCAAAACAAAGUCGUUGGUGUAGGGGUUGAAGAUGAAGUUCAUCAUGCGAGAGAACGUCGGAGGAGCAUUAGCGAGGCCAAAAGACAUAACUGUGUAUUCAUAUGACCCAUAGCUUGUUCUGAACGCCGUCUUCGGAAUAUCUUGUUCACGAAUGCGAAUUUGAUGAUAACCCAUACGGAGAUCAAGCUUGGAGAAUACUUGGGCACCCUUGAGUUGUUCGAAUAGCUCAUUAAUGUUGGGAAGUGGAUAUUUGUUCUUGAUGGUCUUCUUGUUCAAUGGACGAUAAUCAACACAAAGUCGGUCCGUUCCAUCCUUCUUCUUCACAAAAAGAACACCACAACCCCACGGAGAAGUACUAGGCCGAAUGAGACCCAUACUUUCUUGCUUAUCGAGCUGUUUCUUCAACUCCUUCAACUCUUCGGGGCCGAGCUUGUAAGGCCGCUUGCACACCGGUUCCGUACCGGGCUCAAGUUCAAUAACGAAUUCAACGGGCCGGUUAGGAGGCAUGCCUGGGAGUUCUUCAGGGAAGACAUCUUGAUACUCACAAACAACCGGAAUCUGCGAAAUAGCAUCCAAUUCACCCUUUUCAUUGAGAGAGAACAACCGGAUGGUAUUAUCCCGAGCAGCAAAGACAAUUAUUUCCUCAGACGAAUGAGUCAGUUGAAUCUGCUUGGCUGCGCAAUCCAGCUGAGCUUUAUGUUUAGAGAGCCAGUCCAUCCCAAGAAUGAGAUCGAUAUCGGAAUUGCCAAGAAUCAUCGGGGAAGCCAGAAACUUAAAGUCACCCAGCGAGAUAGAAAUAUCCGGAACUUCAUAGUUAGCAAGCAAGCAUUUGCUCGGAGAGACGACUGCUAAUGGCUGAUGCAUAACUUGAGAAAACCACCCGUGCUUAGAUGCAAAAGGCUUCGAGAUGAAACAAUGUGAUGCACCUGUAUCAAAAAGUACUUUUGCAGGAACAUCGUUAAUAGGAAGGUUACCCAUGAUCACAUCUGACGAAUCCUCUGCUUGAGCUGCAUUCACCAUAUUGACCUUGGCGUGCUUGGGAUUAUGCUUGACCACCGCUGUACUUGCCGAUCUGACAGGAGGAGGAGGAGGAAGACGCCUCUGGUUGAAACACUUGUUGGCGUAGUGACCCUUCUGUUGGCACUUGUUGCACGUGACCUCUGAGAGCGGAUGGUGAUACGGAGCACUCGAUCUUGGAGCUUGAGACGAAGUCUUGUUCUGAAAGCCUGGGUUGGGUGGGUGGGAAGAACCACUGCCACCUUUGCUCUUCUGCUGAUACGGCUGACGGAACGGAGGAGGAGGAAGCCAAUACUUCUGCUGCUUGGUCACUUGAGUAGAGGACGAAGACGAAGUGUCUCUGACUCGCUUCCUGGAAGCAUCACACCUGAGCUGAGCAGCCUCUUGCUUCAGUGCCAUGUUGUAGAACUCACCGUAUCUCAGUGGCUCGAAGAGGACAAGAGCGAGCUGAAUUUCUUCACGAAGACCACCCCUGAACUGAUAGAUCAUGCUCUUCUCAUCAGGAACAUCCUGCUUGGCAAAACGGGCGAGCUUCUGGAACAACUUGUUGUAGUCAUAGACAGACAAAGAGCCUUGCUUCAGAUUGCGAAAUUCUUCACGUUUGCUUUCAGUCACACUUUGAGGAAUGUGAUGAGCGCGGAAAUCACGACGGAAAUCAUCCCAAGUGAUCAAACGUCCACCUCUGGAAUCCCGGUACUGCUGAAACCACUCUGCGGCCUGAUCCUUGAGCUGGAAAGACGCGAACUUGACGAAAUCUUCAGGUCUGACGUUGCUACAUUCGAAAUGCUUGCCCAGAUCGACUAACCAAUCAUCAGCAUCGGUAGCCUCAACGCAGUUACUGAACGUCUUUGGACCAUUUGCGAGGAACUGAUGCAGAGUUGCAAACUGGUUCUGGUUGCUGCCUUGAUUCGCUUGACUGCUUUGAUUCCGCUCUUGGAUGAUUUUGCAUGAUCAGCUGAGUAUUUGCAUUAGUAGCAGCCAUCACAGCCUGCCAUGCUUCCGGAGGAGGCGGAGGCGGCGGAGGAUCUUGAUUCUGGUUCUGACUGGUGCUCUUAGCGGGAGCCAUCCUGAAGAGGUUGACCACCAUUAGCACACAAAUAAAGGAAUAUUGAAGGUGAAACCAACGGAAUGAAAAUUGCAACAUAAAGUCUUCACAUCCGAACAAAAUGAACGAAUGCACUUCUCUUGAAGUGGUCACAUAUUCCUAAAUUGCGAAGCCACGAAGAAUCAGGUAGAAUAGGUACAACAACGAGGGAUGGAAUCAACAUAAGACGUCGAAGAAGAACGAAUACCACAACUCGAAAUAAAACCAAAGGUUGGCUUGCGGAAUAAGCCGGAACAAACACAUGAUAGAAAUUUCGUCCGAAGUGUUCGUGGUAGGACCUACACGGGCUCGACCGUACAUCACCAUCAUGUACAAGGCAGUGCACAUGACAUACGAAGCGUCCCCGAGUCAGCAUAGCCAAGGACUCUUUAAGACACAACGAGGCCACUGUAAAAUCAACCGUGAAUAGGCGAACCACUAGACGUCGAACCCCAAUUUCAUAUCACACAUCUGUUGGAAAGAUAUCCUAAGGCUACUUGAAUUCCCACCUAUGAAAUUCCCGAAACUUUCCGGUUAUGCAAUCAGGUGUUGAGGAUACAGGGGAAGCAUAAUAUCUCACCCAAGCUAGCAAAUCCUACAUCCAGCUGCAUCCAUCCUUCAACACAGAACCAAGAAACCUUCGGAAACCAUCUAUCUCAACCUUCGAAAAACAUCCGUUAUACAAGUUAUGGCGAUACUCCCGAACUCCCGCCCCAGUACUGGGUGGCAUCGAGGUUAUCUCACCAACGAACUGCAUAAAGGAGAUUUUCGAUGUCGCGCACAUAUCUCAAGUAUACCAGAAUUGCAACGAUAGAAUUAUGAUGACAACACCUUAGAGCUCAACUCCCCGGGACACUUCCACUAAACCCCUGACAGGAGGCACCAAGACAGUAUUCUCAUCAUAAGCCAUCGGAACAAAACUAAGAUACUCGCGUGAUCCUAAAAUUUUUUUAGUGAAAUUUGAGAAGAGAAGAGUCAAAACUCUAUGUCAGGAUGCCUUACCAGAGCGAUGAGGAGACUGGGAAGUAAAAAGAAUUCCUAAGCUCUCCGAUAUAUAAUUCCUAAGGACUCAAAACAUUUUUCUAGACACAACUCGGCUGCUAAAAACGAUCAAGCAAUGGGGCUCCUAAGGUCGGGGAACGCUCUGAUUACCAACUUGUAACACCCUCGAUGCGACUAUAUCUCCCACGUGUCGAGGCACGACUUAGAGGCAUAAUCGCAUUGAAGGCAUAUGUCGCAAGUGAGGCAAUCUUCACACAACCCAUGUACAUAUAAUAUAAAGGGGAAAAUAAUAAUAAUAGUUGGCUUACACUCGCCACGUCACAUCAAGGUACAUAAAUAGCAUCCAUCAUACAAACACUCAUGGCCCGACUACGGCGCCGAAAUAGAAAAGACUCCCCAACAUGCGACUAAUCCCUGAAUCGAACCCCGAGCAGGCACCACUACUGAUCAUCAGGAAAAGAAACAUAGUAUCGCUGAGAGUCCUCGUCGUACUCCCACUUCAGCUCGAACGCGCCCUCCGGAGGAGUAUCAUCGGUCCCUGCAUCUGUUGUAAUAGUAAUCUGUGAGCCACAAGGACUCAGCAAUCUCGCACCCUCGCGAUCAAGACUAUUUAAGCUAAAUAGGUAAGGAAGGGGUAAGGUGAGUCGAGCUGCAGCAAGCGACUAGCAUAUAUGGUGGCUAACUUAUACGCAAAAGAGAGCGAGAAGAGAAGGCAAGGCACGAGCGGAAACUAAAUAGAGCAGGCUACGCAAACAUAACUCCAACGCCGUGUCCACUUCCCGGACUCCGCAGAGAAGAGGCCAUCACGGCAACACACGCAGUUGAUUCAUUUUAAUUAAUUAGGUUCAAGUUGUCUACAACCGGACAUUAACAAAUUCCCAUCUGCCCAUAACCACGGGCACGGCUUUCGAAAGAUCAAUCCCUGCAGGGGGGUCCCAACUUAGGCCAUAACAAGCUCUCACGGUCAACGAAGGAAUAGACCUCCACCCAGGACCCACCGAUCAGACUCGGUAUCCCGGUACAACAAGAUGAUUCGACAGGUCAAAACUAGUCCAGCAACACCGCCCGAAUGCGCCGACAAAUCCCGAUAGGAGCUGCACAUAUCUCUUUCUCAGGGCACACUCAGAUUGUCUAAACUUCCGGUAGGCCAGCCCAGAGUUGCCCCUGGUGGCCACCGGCGGCUGACGUUCCGGACCAACACUCAGAGGAGCACUGGCCCGUGGGGGGCUAAAAUAAAGAUGACCCUCGGGCUCCGGAAACCCAAGGGAAAGAAAAGGGUAGGUGGCAAAUGGUAAAACCAAUGUUGGGCAUUGCUGGAAAAGCUUUAAUCAAGGCGAACUAUCAAGGGGUUCCCAUUAUAGCCCAACCGCGUAAGGGACGCAACAAUCCGGGAACAUAACACCGAUAUGACGGAAACUAGGGGGGCAAGAGUGGAACAAAACACUAGGCGAGAGGCCGAGCCUUCCACCCUUUACCAAGUAUAUAGGUGAGUAAAGAUAACAUAGCAAUAUAAUGAUAUACCAACAGUAAAUAAAUGUUCCAACAAGGAACGGCUCCAAUCUUCACCUGCAACUAACAACGCUAUAAGAAGGGCUGAGCAAAGCGGUAACAUAGCCAAUCAAUGGUUUUCUAGGACAAAGGUGGGUUAGAGGCUCAAUCAUGCCAAUUGGGAGGCUGACAAGCAAGUGGUAGGCAUCGUAGCAUUGGCAAAGCAAAAGAGCGAGCAAACUAGCAUAGCAAAGAUAGUAGUGAUUUCAAGGGUGUGAUCAUCUUGCCUGCACAGUUGUCAGAAUUGACUGGAUCCUCAAAAGCAAACUCAACGGGCUCCUCGUUAGCGAACUCGUCUCCUGGCUCUACCCAACAACACAAACAAGCAACAAGGAUACAAUCAACCACGUGCAAAGGCAACCAAUACGAUGCAAAGAUGAUAUGCUAUGCGGGAUGCGAUGCGGGAUGCAAAAUGCAACAUGUAACAGGAAAUGCAUGAACCUGGCCUCAACUUGGAAAUCCAAGUGUGCCACUGGAUAGAGGGGAAGAAAUCCCCUGAAAACGAUAUAAAGAUCAUGGCAAUCGGAGCUACGGUUAAGAAAUGGCAAGCGUUUUACUAAACGAACCGAUCUGCGAUUUACAGCAACAUGCCUCCUAAAUGCAACAAAAUGAACAUGCUACAGCCACCCAACAUGAAAACAAAUUACAUGGCAGUGAUGUACUCUUCAAGCUUAACAAAUCAUCAUGACUGAGGCAUAGGCAAAAUCAUCCAUUAAGGGCUUCAAACAAGCAUGGCAAAACUGAAUAAGCAAAAGAGAUUUCAGACUUAGCGAAAUUAACGCUAGUCUGAAAUUUCAGACCAUGAUGCCCUCUUCGGAGCAGCAAAACAACAUGAAGGAAAACCUGAACAUGGCAAGUAAGAGCAUGGUAUGGAGCUACUCAACAAGCUUAACAAAACACCCAAAAUGACCUGGGGCCAAAAGGGUUCACAAAAUACUCUACCGAGCACACGAACAUCGAUGAAACACAAUCAGUUUUCAGACUUAGUGAAAACUGGGACAUGCUGAAAUAAUAACUCACGGAGGCAUAUAAACGAGCUCGAUGCUCUCACUACGGUGCAAGUCAUGGCAAGGCAAGCAUAUAUCCAUUAAGAAGGCACAAAAUUCUAGCUAGACAUGGCAAGAACAAUGGCAUAGCAUGCAUGGAUCACUAGCAAUCACUCCGGCAAAAUCGCAAAAGAGUUAACGAUCUGCCCAAAACAGCAACUAUCCAAAAGUUGAGCUCGAUUGAGUCAACCUAGGUUGCUCCAACAUAACAAGUAAAGAUAUGGAUGGAUUAAGCACAACAAGCUUAACAAAUCACUCUUACUGAUCAUCCUCAAAAGAGGCACGGAUCACUAGGAAACAAGCCGAACAUAUAGUAUCGUGAACUAAAACGGCUCAGACUUAGUGAAAAUUACUAAGUCCCUGAAAUCUGAAAUCUCAGGUAGCCCUCUUCGCAAGCUUGCACAAGACAACACACACAUCCUAAAAAUACAUGGAAGGCACCUAUGGAAAGAAGACAACAUGCUUAACAAUUCAUCCCAAAGGGGCACAGGCAUAUCAUGCACGGAUUAAAUAUGGCAAAAAUGACAAAAGUGCAUGUUGGAUUAACGGAUCUGCAAUUUAACUCAACAUGCCUCCUUCCAACAGCAUUUUGGGCAACAAGAUGACCUCAAAUGCAAAUGAUACAAUGGAAUGAAAUGAUGUACUCGUCGAGACGAAGAAUUUGACAGGUCAAACAUGAGCAUAUGGGGUAAAAUCCCUGGGACUUAGAAGAAAAAAAAGGGGACCCUAGGGUUUACUGUUCACCCAGAUCCGAUCCGGCACAACACUGUAGCUCGGGCCCAGGACCGAGCCCGGCGAUGGCGGCGGCGGCGGAUCCCGCCGGAUCCGGCGAGGGCGCGGGGCGCCGGCGUCGAGGGGAGGCCGGAGGGCAGCGCGCGGCCACCGGAGCCGGCGAGGGGCGGCAGCGGCCGGGCACCNNNNNNNNNNNNNNNNNNNNNNNNNNNNNNNNNNNNNNNNNNNNNNNNNNNNNNNNNNNNNNNNNNNNNNNNNNNNNNNNNNNNNNNNNNNNNNNNNNNNNNNNNNNNNNNNNNNNNNNNNNNNNNNNNNNNNNNNNNNNNNNNNNNNNNNNNNNNNNNNNNNNNNNNNNNNNNNNNNNNNNNNNNNNNNNNNNNNNNNNNNNNNNNNNNNNNNNNNNNNNNNNNNNNNNNNNNNNNNNNNNNNNNNNNNNNNNNNNNNNNNNNNNNNNNNNNNNNNNNNNNNNNNNNNNNNNNNNNNNNNNNNNNNNNNNNNNNNNNNNNNNNNNNNNNNNNNNNNNNNNNNNNNNNNNNNNNNNNNNNNNNNNNNNNNNNNNNNNNNNNNNNNNNNNNNNNNNNNNNNNNNNNNNNNNNNNNNNNNNNNNNNNNNNNNNNNNNNNNNNNNNNNNNNNNNNNNNNNNNNNNNNNNNNNNNNNNNNNNNNNNNNNNNNNNNNNNNNNNNNNNNNNNNNNNNNNNNNNNNNNNNNNNNNNNNNNNNNNNNNNNNNNNNNNNNNNNNNNNNNNNNNNNNNNNNNNNNNNNNNNNNNNNNNNNNNNNNNNNNNNNNNNNNNNNNNNNNNNNNNNNNNNNNNNNNNNNNNNNNNNNNNNNNNNNNNNNNNNNNNNNNNNNNNNNNNNNNNNNNNNNNNNNNNNNNNNNNNNNNNNNNNNNNNNNNNNNNNNNNNNNNNNNNNNNNNNNNNNNNNNNNNNNNNNNNNNNNNNNCGGGCUGCGGGCGGAUGUCCGGUGCGGCCGGACGUGUCCGGCGCGCCAGAGGGAGUUUUUUGGGUUUCGGGGGGAGGGAGAGAUCCGAAAAACGGGGGGUCUAUUUAUAGACCUAGAGGGAGCUAGGAGAGUCCAAAUGAGGUGCGGUUUUCGCCCACACGAUCGUGAUCGAACGACCGAGACGAUGGAGCUGAGUUUGGUGGGUUUUGGGCCAAAAUGUAGGGGUGUUGGGCUGCACACACACGAGGCCUUUUCGGUCCCUCGGUUAACCGUUGGAGUAUCAAACGAAGUCCAAAUGACCCGAAACUUGACAGGCGGUCUACCGGUAGUAAACCAAGGCCGCAUGGCAAGUCUCGGUCCAAUCUGGAAAUGUUUAAUCCCCACACACGAAAGAAAGCUAGAAAUGGCCACCGGAGGAGAACGAAGCGCCGGAAUGCAAAACGGACAACGGGGAAAAUGCUCGAAUGCAUGAGAUGAACAUGUAUGCAAAUGCGAUGCACGUGACGACAUGAUAUGAGAUGCACGAAAACAAAACAACACACGGGGACAAAGACCCGAACCCGAGAAUUAAAUAUAACUUAAUGCCGGAAACGGCAUGAGUCGGAGUACAAUUGGGGAAGGUUACAUAUGGGGCGUUACAUUGAGCCUAAUCACUUGCCUCUAUUGCCACCUAUGUUGUGUUUAUCAUCUAGGGUUUAUCGAUGCUAAGGAGAAUUCUAAGUUGGGCCUAAUCACUUGGCUCUAUUGUCAUCUAUGGUUUAAUGCAGCAAGAAUGGCGGGGCAGUUGAUCCUACUUAACUAAGUACUAAGAUACCCCGGCCCAUGCAUUAGUCGCAAGUACCCCAUAUGUCCUAUUUUUAGCAAAGUCAUGCUAAAAUUCACGGAAAAUUUCAGCAUGACCUGUGCUGAAAAUAGGACAUAUGGAGUACCCGAAUUUGCCGGAACAGAAGUUAAUCGACAUUCCGACAAACUCAAGGGCCUCUCGGGGUACCUGCAAAAUCAUUACCCCGCCCCCACCCAGCUGCAACCCCACAACACCCCACAAUAUCAUCACGACACGAUGGUCGGAGACAAAACCCCCCAAUAUCAUCAAAAUACUCCAGUUAUGAAGUAAAAUUCCUGAAGUGUUCCAGGAGUAGAACCUGAAGUGUAGUCAGUGGCUUCACCUAUGUGCAUAAAAAUUCAAAAUCAUUUGAAACCUGAUCACUAGUCAUAAAAAUUCAAAAUCAUUCAAAAUCAAAAUCUACUAAUUAGUUCUUGUGCUCAUCCAGUAGCAACAUCUUUCAUACAUGAUCAGUAGUCAUGUACCAAAUUUUUAUUUAGACUGAAUUUGCAAAUCAACAAGAGCUCUACUAGUUUCAGACUAGAUUUACACUAAAUACACUAGAGUAUUUGACCAGUAGUCAUGUGAAAUCUUUGAAUUUGUAAACACUUCCAGACUUGAGCAUUGAGAGUUCACAAUUGCAAAAAAUGUCCCUUGUUCCUGAACUUGUAUUGUACUCCAUUCAUUCAAGCAGAAAGAAACAAUUAUUGUUGAUACUCAUGUGCUUCUUUCCAAAUAAUGUUAUUUAUUCAGAGUUUGAGAAAUUUUGAACAAAAAAAGAACGCAAGAUACAGACUGAAAUUGAUGUUCAAAAAUAACUGAUAGUAGCAUGCUAUGGUACAGAUAAAGUUGGGUCAUAGUAACACACAGUAACAUUUCUGGAAUCCAAAUUGAAACAAUAAAUCACAGGUAGCUAGCAACUGAAAAUCAAAUUGGCACUUUCUCCAAACUCAUACAUGUCUUCUCUUUUUGUAGCAUUAGUGCUCAUCUCGAUGGAUUAACUGAAUUUUCUACAAACACCAAGUACUAGGGCACACAAAAGUUCUGAAAUUUGUGUGCCUAACUAAAUUAACUGAAUUUUUAGUAACCGAAUAAACUGAAUUUUCAAAACUGACAAAUAUUAAUAGGUUGACUAUAGCAAAUCCAAUUUGCAUGCUUCACUACAUAUAAUUUACAAUAAUCCGAGGGGACAAAUACAACAUUGGAAAAGUCAAUUCAGGUUAAUCUGAAUUGGCAGCUAUAGUGAUGCCAUUUAAAGCUAGCUAGAGGGAAAAGCCAUUUAAAAAAAUCCUCUCAUCUCAUAUGAGGAGUGUUAAUCCUAAGACUAAUAGUUUGUUGUGCAGUACAGUUACAGUGAUGCCCUGUCCAUUUUGUCCCUCCCCGACUAGAUACUAGAGUAGCACUGUUGAUGCCCUGUUCUUGCUGAACUUUAUGACAGUAUAUACAACAACUUAUCCUCUUAAGCCAAAACAACUUUCUAAAAGCCAAAUGCAACUUGUUGAGAUUAUUUUGAGCAGAACUCCUUGAGGAACUAGCAGCAAAAGGCACUGAACUAGCAGCAAGCUUGUGUUAUUGCUUACUAAGGUACUGAAUUGAUCGGAACUUCAGAACACUGAGCUUUACAUACUAAUUUCAGAGGGAUUUGAACCUAAUUUGACCUAAAUUCGAGAGGGAUUUGACCUUAUUUUGCAUCUACACUAGCCCCUAAUCCAUGGCUAGAGCUAGUAGUAGGAACACAUGGUAGAGUAAUUAGGUAGCCUUGAGGAACCCAAAUCCAUGGCUGGUAGAUCGAAUGAAACAAGGAGGGGAGAGGGGACGGAGGGGAGUUGGGGGCACCUUCACCUUGGGUGGCUGAACGACGGCGCCGUGGAUUUAGAGGUCUAGGUGGACGAAGCCCUUGAUUGCGGCGACUGUGGUGGCUGGGUGCGCCCCUCCUGCUCCUCCUCCUCGACCAGGACAAGGUCGGUGGCUACACGGUGAGGAGAAGGUCCUCCUCUCCUCUCCGGGCGUCGUCCUGGUCGCUUGCCGGCGUGGUCUACCUGUAGAGACGAGACAAGAAGGGCUCAGGGGUUUGGAGUGGAGGGGGGCUUACGGGCGGAGGAGGACGGGCGGAGGAAGAGGGGGGCUUACGGGCAGAGGAGGACGGACGGCGGCGCAGUAGGGGCGACGGAGGGAGGCGUUGCUGGGCUCCUGUGCCGGCUGCGGGGCAGCGGAGGCUUCGGACGGCUGGGUGCGCCGCGGUGUCGGGCUGGCAGUCGUGGCGGCAGGCGGGGCAGCCGGAGCGGGUGUGGAGUGGGCGCGGGGGUCGUUGGAGCGGGCCGGGGUCAUCGGAGCGGGCGCGGCGGGGGAGGGAAGGGGGAUCUGGCGAGGGAGAGGGAAGGGGGGAUCGGGCGAAGGGGUAUCCAGCUAGACACUAUAGCAAUGGCGCACCACCCUCUGGUGCGCCAUUAGUAGUUUUUUUCUGAUAGCAAUGGCGCACCCUCCACUGGUGCGCCAUUAGUAACUUUUUUUCUGACAGCAAUGGCGCACCCUCCUCUGGUGCGCCAUUAGUAACAUUUUUUUUCAUUAUUUCUUGUUGCAUCUAAUAAUUUAUUUUUUAUCAAAUUUGUUAUUUUCAUGAGGACUAGAACAGAAGAUAUCAUCAAAUAUCAUCAAACUUUUUUUUGAAAAUAUCAUCAAAUAAUUUUUAUACUAAUGGCGCACCGUGGCACAGUGCGCCAUUACUACUGUGCACCAUUAGUAGUUUUGCAAAAAAAGUAAAAAAAAUACAGUAGUGGCGCACUCUACGGCUGGUGCGCCAUUAGUAGUUCUAACUACUAAUGACACACUCCGCCCGGAUGCGCCAUUAGUAUGUUUGAAAAAAUGAAAAAAAACAAUUGUUACUAGUGGCGCANNNNNNNNNNNNNNNNNNNNNNNNNNNNNNNNNNNNNNNNNNNNNNNNNNNNNNNNNNNNNNNNNNNNNNNNNNNNNNNNNNNNNNNNNNNNNNNNNNNNNNNNNNNNNNNNNNNNNNNNNNNNNNNNNNNNNNNNNNNNNNNNNNNNNNNCCACACUAAUGGCGCACCAGCACAUGGUGCGCCACUAGCAGUGGCGCAACACAUGACAGGUGUGCCAUUAGUGUUCAUUCCAUCUAUAGCCCUUUUCCUAGUAGUGUACUUAUAGCAAGACUUCUCCCAUGUCCUCAGGAACAAACGUAACUACUCAUAAAUCAUAUUCAUGUUCAUAAUCAGAGUGGUAUUAAUAUGCAUAAUGGAUCUGAACAUAUGAUCUUCCACCAACUAAAUCAACUAGCAUCAACUACAAGGAGUAAUCAACACUAGUAGCAACCCACAUGUACCAAUCUGAGGUUUGGAUACAAAGAUUGGAUACAGGAGAUGAACUAGGGUUUGAGAUGAGAUGGUGCUGGUGAAGGUGUUGAUGGAGAUUGACCCCCUCCCGAUGAUAGUAUCGUUGAUGAUGACGAUGGUGAUGAUUUCCCCCUCCCGGAGGGAGGUUUCCCCUGCAGAACAGCUCCGCCGGAGCCCUAGAUUGGUUCCGCCUCAUGGCGGCGGAGUUUCAUCCCGUAAGCUUGCUUAUGAUUUUUUUCUUGACGAAAGACUCCAUAUAGCCAAAGAUGGGCAUCAGAGGGCCACCAGGGGGCCCACGAGACAGGGGGGCGCGCUCAGUGUUGGGGAUCGUAGCAGAAAUUUAAAAUUUUCUAUGCAUCACCAAGAUCAAUCUAUGGAGUCAUCUAGCAACGAGGGGAAGAGGAGUGCAUCUACAUACCCUUGUAGAUCGCGAGCGGAAGCAUUCAAGAGAACGGGGAUGAUGGAGUCGUACUCGUUGUGAUCCACAUCGCCGAUGAACCUAGCGCCGAACGGACGGCACCUCCGCGUUCAACACACGUACGGAGCGAGGACAUCUCCCGCGCCUUGAUCCGGCAAGGAAGAGGGAGAGGUUGAGGAAGAGGGCUCCAACAGCAGCACGACGACGUGGUGGUGGUGGAGCAGCAGUACUCCGGCAGGGCUUCGCCAAGCUCUUGCGGAGGAGGAGAGGUGUUGGGGAGGGGAGGGGCUGCGCCUUGGAUGUGGUGUGCAGCCCUCCCCAUGCCCCUCUAUUUAUAGGGGAAGGAGGAAGGGGGUCGGCCCCCUCUAGAUGAGAUCUAGAGGGGGUGGCCAAGGGGAGGGGGCUUGCCCCCCAAGCAAGGGGGGCGCCCCCCUUAGGGUUUCCCCCCAACCCUAGGCGCAUGGGCCCAAGGGGGGAUGCGCCCAGCCCAUGUAGGGCUGGUUCCCUUCCUCUACGGCCCAUUAGGCCCUCCGAGAGAGGUGGCCCCUCCCGGUGGACCCCCGGAACCCCUCCGGUGGCCCCGGUACAAUACCGAUAUGCCCCCGAACCUUUCCGGUGACCGUAUGACAACUUCUUACAUAUAAAUCUUCACCUCCAGACCAUUCCGGAACUCCUCGUGACGUUCGGGAUCUCAUCCGGGACUCCGAGCAACAUUCGGUAAUCACAUACAAGUCUUCCUAAUAACCCUAGAGUCAUCGGACCUUAAGUGUGUAGACCCUACGGGUUCAGGAACCAUGCAGACAUGACCGAGACAACUCUCCGGCCAAUAACCAACAGCGGGAUCUGGAUACCCAUGUUGGCUCCCACAUGUUCCACGAUGAUCUCAUCGGAUGAACCACGAUGUCGAGGAUUCAAGCAGUCGCGUAUUCAAUUCCCUUUGUCAAUCGGUACGUUACUUGCCCGAGAUUCGAUCGUCGGUAUCCCAAUACCUCGUUCAAUCUCGUUACCGGCAAGUCACUUUACUCGUUCCGUAAUGCAUGAUCCCAUGACCCACUACUUAGUCACACUGAGCUCAUUAUGAUGAUGCAUUACCGAGUGGGCCCAGAGAUACCUCUCCGUCAUACGGAGUGACAAAUCCCAGUCUCGAUUCAUGCCAACCCAACAGACACUUUCGGAGAUACCUGUAGUGUACCUUUAUAGCCACCCAGUUACAUUGUGACGUUUGGUACACCCAAAGCACUCCUACGGUAUCCGGGAGUUGCACAAUCUCAUGGUCUAAGGAAAUGAUACUUGACACUUAGAAAAGCUCUAGCAGACGAACUACACGAUCUUGUGCUAUGCUUAGGAUUGGUUCUUGUCCAUCACAUCAUUCUCCUAAUGAUGUGAUCCCGUUAUCAAUGACAUCCAAUGUCCAUGGUCAGGAAACCAUAACCAUCUAUUGAUCAACGAGCUAGUCAACUAGAGGCUCACUAGGGACAUGUUGUGGUCUAUGUAUUCACACAUGUAUUACGAUUUCCGGAUAACACAAUUAUAGCAUGAACAAUAGACAAUUAUCAUGAACAAGGAAAUAUAAUAAUAACCAUUUUAUUAUUGCCUCUAGGGCAUAUUUCCAACAGUCUCCCACUUCCACUAGAGUCAAUAAUCUUGUUACAUUGUGAUUAAUCGAACACCCAUAGAGUUCUUGUGUUGAUCAUGUUUUGCUUGAGGAAGAGGUUUAGUCAACGGAUCUGCGACAUUCAGGUCCGUAUGCACUUUGCAAAUAUCUAUGUCUCCAUUUUGAACAUUUUCACGAAUGGAGUUGAAGCGACGCUUGAUAUGCCUGGUCUUCCUGUGAAACCUGGGCUCCUUGGCAAGGGCAAUAGCUCCAGUGUUGUCACAGAAGAGAGUCAUCGGGCCCGACACAUUGGGAACAACUCCUAGGUCGGUAAUGAACUCCUUCACCCAGAUUGCUUCUUGUGCUGCCUCCGAGGCUGCCAUGUACUCCGCUUCACAUGUAGAUCCCGCCAUGACGCUUUGCUUGCAACUGCACCAGCUGACUGCCCCACCAUUCAAAAUAUACACGUAUCCGGUUUGUGACUUGGAGUCAUCCAGAUCUGUGUCGAAGCUAGCAUCGACAUAACCCUUUAUGACGAGCUCUUCGUCACCUCCAUAAACGAGAAACAUAUCCUUAGUCCUUUUCAGGUACUUCAGGAUAUUCUUGACCGCUGUCCAGUGUUCCAUGCCGGGAUUACUUUGGUACCUUCCUACCAAACUUACGGCAAGGCUUACAUCAGGUCUGGUACACAGCAUGGCAUACAUAAUAGACCCUAUGGCCGAGGCAUAGGGGACGACACUCAUCUUUUCUCUAUCUUCUGACGUGGUCGGGCAUUGAGUCGCGCUCAAUCUCGUACCUUGCAAUACAGGCAAGAACCCCUUCUUGGACUGAUCCAUAUUGAACUUCUUCAAUAUCUUGUCAAGGUACGUACUCUGUGAAAGACCAAUGAGGCGUCUCGAUCUAUCUCUAUAGAUCUUGAUGCCUAAUAUAUAAGCAGCUUCUCGAAGAUCCUUCAUUGAAAAAACACUUGUUCAAGUAGGCCUUUAUGCUUUCCAAGAAUUCUAUAUCAUUUCCCAUCAAUAGUAUGUCAUCCACAUAUAAUAUGAGAAAUGCUACAGAGCUCCCACUCACUUUCUUGUAAACACAGGCUUCUCCAUAAGCCUGCGUAAACCCAAACGCUUUGAUCAUCUCAUCAAAUCGAAUGUUCCAACUCCGAGAUGCUUGCACCAGCCCAUAGAUUGAGCGUUGGAGCUUGCACACCUUGUCAGCAUUCUUAGGAUCGACAAAACCUUCCAGCUGCAUCAUAUACAAUUCUUCCUUGAGGAAACCAUUAGGGAAUGCCGUUUUGAUGUCCAUUUGCCAUAUCUCAUAAUCAUAGAGUGUGGCAAUUGCUAACAUGAUCCGGACGGACUUCAGCUUCGCUACGGGUGAGAAAGUCUCAUCGUAGUCAACCCCUUGAACUUGUCGAUAACCCUUAGCGACAAGCCGAGCCUUAAAGAUGGUCACAUUACCAUCCACGUUUGUCUUCUUCUUAAAGAUCCAUUUAUUUUCUAUGGCUCGUCGAUCAUCGGGCAAGUCAGUCAAAGUCCGUACUUCGUUUUCAUACAUGGUCCUAUCUCAGAUUUCAUGGCUUCCAGCCAUUUGUCAGAAUCUGGGCCCGCUAUCGCUUCUUCAUAGUUCGAAGGUUCACCAUUGUCCAACAACAUGAUUUCCAGGACAGGGUUGUCGUACCACUCUGGUGCGGAACGUGUCCUUGUGGACCUACGAAGUUCAGCAGCAACUUGAUCUGAAGUUUCAUGAUCAUCAUCAUUAACUUCCUCUCUAGUCGGUGCAGGCACCUCAGGAACAUUUUCCUGAGCCGCGCCACUCUCCGGUUCAAGAGGCAAUACUUCAUCAAGUUCUACUCUCCUCCCACUUACUUCUUUCGAGAGAAACUCUUUCUCUAGAAAGGAUCCAUUCUUGGCAACAAAGAUCUUGCCUUCGGAUCUGAGGUAGAAGGUAUACCCAAUAGUUUCUUUAGGGUAUCCUAUGAAGACGCAUUUUUCCAAUUUGGGUUCGAGCUUUUCAGGUUGAAGUUUCUUCACGUAAGCAUCGCAUCCCCAAACUUUUAGAAACGACAGCUUAGGUUUCUUCCCAAACCAUAAUUCAUACGGUGUCGUCUCAACGGAUUUCGACGGAGCCCUAUUUAAAGUGAAUGUGGCAGUCUCUAAAGCAUAGCCCCAAAAUGACAGCAGUAGAUCGGUAAGAGACAUCAUACAUCGCACCAUAUCUAAUAGAGUGCGAUUACGACGUUCGGACACACCAUUACGCUGAGGUGUUCCAGGCGGCGUGAGUUGUGAAACUAUUCCACAUUUCCUUAAGUGCUGCCAAAUUCGUGACUCAAAUAUUCUCCCCCACGAUCUGAUCGCAAGAACUUGAUUUUCCUGUCACGUUGAUUCUCAACCUCACUCUGAAAUUCCUUGAACUUUUCAAAGGUCUCAGACUUGUGUUUCAUUAAGUAGACAUACCUAUAUCUACUCAAGUCAUCAGUGAGGGUGAGAACAUAACGAUAGCCACCGCGAGCCUCAACACUCAUUGGACCGCACACAUCAGUAUGUAUGAUUUCCAAUAAGUUGGUUGCUCGCUCCAUUGUUCCGGGGAACGGAGUCUUGGUCAUUUUGCCCAUGAGGCAUGGUUCGCACGUGUCAAAUGAUUCAUAAUCAAGAGACUCCAAAAGUCCAUCUGCAUGGAGUUUCUUCAUGCAUUUGACACCAAUGUGACCAAGGCGGUAGUGCCACAAAUAUGUGGGACUAUCAUUAUCAACCUUACAUCUUUUGGUAUUCACACUAUGAAUAUGUGUAACAUCACGUUCGAGAUUAAAUAAGAAUAAACCAUUGACCAGCGGGGCAUGACCAUAAAACAUAUCUCUCAUAUAAAUAGAACAACCAUUAUUCUCGGAUUUAAAUGAGUAGCCAUCUCGUAUUAAACGAGAUCCUGAUACAAUGCUCAUGCUCAAAGCUGGCACUAAAUAACAAUUAUUGAGGUUUAAAACUAAUCCUGUAGGUAAAUGCAGAGGUAGCGUGCCGACGGCGAUCACAUCGACCUUGGAACCAUUCCCGACGCGCAUCGUCACCUUGUCCUUCGCCAGUCCCCGCUUAUUCCGUAGCUCCUAUUUUGAGUUACAAAUAUGAGCAACCGCACCGGUAUCAAAUACCCAGGAGCUACUACGAGUACUGGUGAGGUACACAUCAAUAACAUGUAUAUCACAUACACCUUUGGUGUUGCCGACCUUCUUGUCCGCUAAGUACUUGGGGCAGUUCGGCUUCCAGUGACCACUUCCCUUGCAAUAAAAACACUCAGUCUCGGGUUUGGGUCCAUUCUUUGGCUUCUUCCUGGCAGCUUGCUUACCGGGUGUGGCAACUCCCUUGCUGUCCUUCUUGAAGUUCUUUUUACCCUUCCCUUUCUUGAACUUAGUGGUUUUAUUCACCAUCAACACUUGAUGUUCUUUUUUGAUUUCCACCUCCGCUGAUUUCAGCAUUGAAUAUACCUCAGGAAUGGUCUUUUCCAUCCCCUGCAUAUUGAAGUUCAUCACAAAGCUCUUAUAGCUAGGUGGGAGCGACUGAAGGAUUCUAUCAACGACCGCAUCAUCCGGGAGAUUAACUCCCAGCUGAGACAAGCGGUUAUGUAACCCAGACAUUUUGAGUAUGUGCUCGCUGACGGAACUAUUCCCCUCCAUCUUACAACUGUAGAACUUGUCGGAGACUUCAUAUCUCUCAACCCGGGCAUGAGCUUGGAAAACCAUUUUCAGCUCUUGGAACAUCUCAUAUGCUCCGUGUUGCUCAAAACGCUACUGGAGCCUGGUUCUAAGCUGUAAAGCAUGCCGCACUGAACCAGGGAGUAGUCAUCAGCACGGGACUGCCAAGCGUUCAUAACGUCUUGGUUUGCUGGGGGUGGUGCUUCACCUAGCGGUGCUUCAAGGACAUAUGCUUUCUUGGCAGCUAUGAGGAUGAUCCUCAAGUUCCGGACCCAGUCCGUAUAGUUGCUACCAUCGUCUUUCGGCUUGGUUUUCUCUAGGAAUGCGUUGAAAUUGAGGACAACAUUAGCGUGGGCCAUUUGAUCUACAAGACAUAUUGUAAAGAUUUUAGACUAAGUUCAUGAUAAUUAAGUUCAUCUAAUCAAAUUAUUUAAUAAACUCCCACUCAGAUAGACAUCCCUCUAGUCAUCUAAGUGAUACAUGAUCCGAUUCAACUAGGCCAUGUCCGAUCAUCACGUGAGACGGACUGGUCAUCAUUGGUGAACAUCUUCAUGUUGAUCGUAUCUUCUAUACGACUCAUGUUCGACCUUUCGGUCUUCCGUGUUCUGAGGCCAUGUCUGUACAUGCUAGGCUCGUCAAGUCAACCUAAGUGUUUUGCGUAUGUAAAUCUAGCUUACACCCGUUGUAUGCGAACGUUAGAACCUAUCACACCCGAUCAUCACGUGGUGCUUCGGAACAACGGACCUUAGCAACGGUGCACAGUUAGGGGGAACACUUUCUUGAAAUUAUUGUGAGGGAUCAUCUUAUUUAUGCUACCGUCGUUCUAAGCAAAUAAGAUGUAAAACAUGAUAAACAUCACAUGCAAUCAAAUAGUGACAUGAUAUGGCCAAUAUCAUUUUGCUCCUUUUUGAUCUCCAUCUUCGGGGCGCCAUGAUCAUCAUCGUCACCGGCAUGACACCAUGAUCUCCAUCAUCAUGAUCUCCAUCAUCGUGUCUUCAUGAAGUUGUCUCGUCAACUAUUACUUCUACUACUAUGGCUAACGGUUAGCGAUAAAGUAAAGUAAUUACAUGACGUAUAAGUUGACAUGCACACGCAGGUCAUAAAUAAAUUAAGACAACUCCUAUGGCUCCUGCCGGUUGUCAUACUCAUCGACAUGCAAGUCGUGAUUUCUAUUACAAGAACAUGAUCAAUCUCAUACAUCACAUAUAUCAUUCAUCACAUCCUUUCGGCCAUAUCACAUCACACGGCAUAUGCUGCAAAAACAAGUUAGACGUCCUCUAAUUGUUGUUGUAAGUUUUUACAUGGCUGCUAUAGGUUUCUAGCAAGAACGUUUCUUACCUACGUCAAAACCACAACGUGAUAUGCCAAUUUCUAUUUACCCUUCAUAAGGACCCUUUUUAUCGAAUCUGAUCCGACUAAAGUGGGAGAGACAGACACCCGCUAGCCACCUUAUGCAACUAGUGCAUGUCAGUCGGCGGAACUAGUCUCACGUAAGCGUACGUGUAAGGUUGGUCUGGGCCGCUUCAUCCCACGAUGCCGCCGAAUCAAGAUAAGACUAGUAACGGCAAGUAAAUUGACAAAAUCGACGCCCACAACAACUUGUGUUCUACUCGUGCAUAGAAACUACGCAUAGACCUAGCUCGUGAUGCCACUGUUGGGGAUCGUAGCAAAAAUUUAAAAUUUUCUACGCAUCACCAAGAUCAAUCUAUGGAGUCAUCUAGCAAUGAGGGGAAGAGUAGUGCAUCUACAUACCCUUGUAGAUCACGAGCGGAAGCGUUCAAGAGAACGGGGAUGAUGGAGUCGUACUCGUCGUGAUCCAAAUCACCGAUGAUCCUAGCGCCGAACGGAUGGCACCUCCGCGUUCAUCACACGUACGGAGCGAGGACGUCUCCCGCACCUUGAUCCAGCAAGGAAGAGGGAGAGGUUGAGGAAGAGGGCUCCAACAACAGCACGAUGGCAUGGUGGUGGUGGAGCAGCAGUACUCGGUAGGGCUUCGCCAAGCUCUUGCGGAGGAGGAGAGGUGUUGGGGAGGGGAGGGGUUGUGCCUUGGAUGUGGUGUGCAGCCCUCCCCUUGCCCCUCUAUUUAUAGGGGAAGGAGGAAUGGGGCCGGCCCCCUCUAGAUGAGAUCUAGAGGGGGCGGCCAAGGGGAGGGGGCUUGCCCCCCAAGCAAGGGGGGCGCCCCCCUUAGGGUUCCCCCCCCCCAACCUUAGGCGCAUGGGCCCAAGGGGGGGUGUGCCCAGCCCAUGUAGGGCUGGUUCCCUUUCCUCUACAGCCCAUUAGGCCCUCCGAGAGAGGUGGCCCCUCCCGGUGGACCCCCGGAACCCCUCCGGUGGCCCCGGUACAAUACCGAUAUGCCCCCGAACCUUUUCGGUGACCGUAUGACAACUUCCUACAUAUAAAUCUUCACCUCUGGACCAUUCCGGAACUCCUCGUGACGUCCGGGAUCUCAUCCGGGACUCCAAACAACAUUCGGUAAUCACAUACAAGUCUUCCUAAUAACCCUAGUGUCAUCGAACCUUAAGUGUGUAGACCCUACGGGUUCGGGAACCAUGCAGACAUGACCGAGACAACUCUCCGGCCAAUAACCAAUAGCGGGAUCUGGAUACCCAUGUUGGCUCCCACAUGUUCCACGAUGAUCUCAUCGGAUGAACCAUGAUGUCGAGGAUUCGAUCAUCGGUAUCCCAAUACCUCGUUCAAUCUCAUUACCGGCAAGUCACUUUACUCGUUCCGUAAUGCAUGAUCCCGUGACCCACUACUUAGUCACACUGAGCUCAUUAUGAUGAUGCAUUACCGAGUGGGCCCAGAGAUACCUCUCCGUCAUACGGAGUGACAAAUCCCAGUCUCAAUUCAUGCCAACCCAACAGACACUUUCGGAGAUACCUGUAGUGUACCUUUAUAGCCACUCAGUUACGUUGUGACGUUUGGUACACCCAAAGCACUCCUACAGUAUCCGGGAGUUGCACAAUCUCAUGGUCUAAGGAAAUGAUACUUGACACUUAGAAAAGCUCUAGCAGACGAACUACACGAUCUUGUGCUAUGCUUAGGAUUGGGUCUUGUCCAUCACAUCAUUCUCCUAAUGAUGUGAUCCCGUUAUCAAUGACAUCUAAUGUCCAUGGUCAGGAAACCGUAACCAUCUAUUGAUCAACGAGCUAGUCGACUAGAGGCUCACUAGGGACAUGUUGUGGUCUAUGUAUUCACACAUGUAUUACGAUUUUCGGAUAACACAAUUAUAGCAUGAACAACAGACAAUUAUCAUGAACAAGGAAAUAUAAUAAUAACCAUUUUAUUAUUGCCUCUAGGGCAUAUUUCCAACACUCAGGGGGUAGGGCGCGCCCCCCACCCUCGUGGACGGUGGGUGGCCCCCCUCUGGUACUUUUUCGCCAAAUAUUUUUUAUAUAUUAUAAAAAUAAUUCCCGUGGAGUUUCAGGACUUUUGGAGAUGUGCAGAAUAGGUCUCUAAUAUUUGCUCCUUUUCCAGCCCAGAAUUCCAGCUGCCGGCAUUCCCCAUCUUCAUUUAAAUCUUGUAAAAUAAGAGAGAAUAGGCAUAAGUAUUGUGACAUAAUGUGUAAUAACAGCCUAUAAUAUAAUAAAUAUCGAUAUAAAAGCAUGAUGCAAAAUGGACAUAUCAGAGUUGUGGCCAUGGAACACUAGAGAGCGCUAGGGGACGGGAAGAGGAGUGUGUGGCUAGGUUGAGCGGGUGCACUCACGGGUUGAACCCAUGGUGUCGUCUAACCCAAUUUUAUCAUUCAUCCUCAACCCGCACCAACUCAAUCCAACUUGUUCUCUGCUACACCCACACUGCCCCAGCCCAGUUAGCCUUUUCUGCCCAUUAUAGCCCAACCAAAGGAAACCAAUCAACAACUGACACUAAAAUUUCCAAUUAAAACCGCCCCAUUCCUAGGUUAACACACGUGUGAAUAUGCAAAACCGUGUGCGUGGUCGGUGGUACUAAAUGUAGUUAAUUAUAUCCAAAUUCUGACCACCCUCUAAUGCGCCUAUAUAAUAUGCUAAUCAUCAAUUCAAUUGUCAUUCAUUCCUUCUUCAUCCCUGCGCUCUCACACACUCUCUCUUGCAAUCUCUCCCAUCGCAGCCAUGGCCUCCUGGAAAGGGCCACGGAACCAGUACUCCUCCAGUGACGACGACAUCUGCAGUCCUGAUGUAAGUGAGAAUUCAUUGGGACCGCAAUCCACACCACCCUUUAGCCUCUACAGCUCUGACGACCUCGAAUAUAUUGAUUUCAUGGAAGGUCCAAAGGAGCCAUCAGAGACCGACUCGGAGGAGGAGCACUCGGAGAACCAUGAAGAAGAUGAGGAGGAGGAGGAGGAGGAGGACGACGACGACGACGAGGAUGUCGAUGACAGUGAUGGCGACGAUGACGACUUUGAUGACAGUGAUAAUGACGACGACGGCGAGAAGAAGCCAACAGUAAGCGGCAAGAAGUAUCCUCGCCAAGACAAUGGCGCGAAAGUGGCAUCCAAGAAGAAGAAGGAGUAGACUAGUAUAUCUUUGUUGUUGAGUUUGCUUAUAUAUAUACUUCAUAUAUGUUGAUACUUUCCUCCCUAGCUAUUAGUUGAUGUAAUUAAUGGAGUCUUAUUAAUGGUUAUCCAGAGUCGUUUAUAUUUUUGUUUACCUUCUUGGUAUGUGCAUAUGGCAGGUUUACUCUUCUGGCUCUAGGUUUCGUCGAUCUUAUAUCUUCAGGUAGCUCUAGAUCUCACACAAUCCAUAUGCUAAAAUUGUGAGCGAUGGUUCUCACUAUCGCACAUAGUUCCAUUAAUUCAAUUCGAUCUCCCUUUGCUCUGCUCCGAGUUGUAUUAGUAUUGAAAUCGUUCAACGAUGCGAGGGGGAGGGGGGGUGCGGCCCGAGGCUGAAAUUAAGGAGCAAUGAGCCCGACAACGAAAAAAGACGAUCCAUUUUUUAUUAUCAGUGGCAAUAGGGGUAAAUAAUAUUAACUUUGAGGGUUAUUUUGAUAACGGACGAAAAAACUGAAGACACUCACCUCCCUCUAAUAUUUUUUUUCUCUAAAGAUUGCAAGGGCAUAAUUACCUGUCCUGUGUUUUUUUUUGGAAAACACCUGUCUUGUGUUAUAACACCUUGAGUGAUGGUGAUUUGUGUAACAAGGUUCAGACAUAAUGACUCCCUCUUUCUCAAAAAAGGAACUCAACGGUAACAAACUAAACUUGAGGUAACUGAAGAUAGAAUAAAAAAGCUGAUAUUUUUUGUCAGAUUUUUAGUCUACCGGUAUGUGAAUGCCUAUGCUUUUCUAAAAAAAAAGUGCUACAGUANNNNNNNNNNNNNNNNNNNNNNNNNNNNNNNNNNNNNNNNNNNNNNNNNNNNNNNNNNNNNNNNNNNNNNNNNNNNNNNNNNNNNNNNNNNNNNNNNNNNNNNNNNNNNNNNNNNNNNNNNNNNNNNNNNNNNNNNNNNNNNNNNNNNNNNNNNNNNNNNNNNNNNNNNNNNNNNNNNNNNNNNNNNNNNNNNNNNNNNNNNNNNNNNNNNNNNNNNNNNNNNNNNNNNNNNNNNNNNNNNNNNNNNNNNNNNNNNNNNNNNNNNNNNNNNNNNNNNNNNNNNNNNNNNNNNNNNNNNNNNNNNNNNNNNNNNNNNNNNNNNNNNNNNNNNNNNNNNNNNNNNNNNNNNNNNNNNNNNNNNNNNNNNNNNNNNNNNNNNNNNNNNNNNNNNNNNNNNNNNNNNNNNNNNNCAGGACGGCCGGCGGUAUCCAUGUUGGGCGUGAGCCUCAUCCAGAUGGAUUGCUAUUAAAUUCCACAAUCUUUUUGUAAUUCAAAAGAUUGACACGAAUAAAAAUAGAUCGUAUCUUAAAACGCAAUUAAACCAUGCUAAUAAUUUUUAUUAUCUUUUGAAGACAAUUUUGUAAUAAUUUUCACUAUUACUAAGUACAAAAGAUUGCGUCGAAUAAAAAAUUGGCGAUGAUGAUGAUACCAUCACGAGAUCGAUGGCCAUGGCAAGGACCACCGGCCGUAUCCACGUUGGACAAUGCGUCGGCGGCCAGAUGGAUUCCAAAUGGACUCGGCCGCUUCUCAGCAUCCCUCCAAACCUGCAUGCGUGCGCAUGCAUUCAUGUGACCCGAUCUCCACCUCACUCCACCACCACAGUCCACAGCCCUUCGCUAUAAUUGCCUGCCGUGGCCGAUCCUGCUCGCAGCACAAUACGCAGCUGAAGCCGCCCACACCUCAUCUCCAUGGCGGGCAUGCUCUGCGUUGCUCUCCUCCUCACGUCCCUGAUCUGGUCAGCCGCGCCCACGGCCGGCUUGGCCGGAGAUGGCCGCCGGCAGCAGCAGCUAACCGCGCUGCCGCCGAGGGGCUGGAACUCGUACGACUCCUUCUCGUGGAUCAUCGACGAGGCCGCGUUCCUCGACAACGCGCGGAUCAUGGCCAACAGGCUGCUCCCCCAUGGAUACCAGGUAUCACACACCAAGCCCUUCAUAGGUUUUUUUUCAUUCAAGUAUGGAUGAUCAUACCGCAUUUCUUCUCUGUUGCGGCAUGACAUAACAUUAGAUGAUGCACCGUGCACGCAGUACGCAGUGAUAGACUUCCUGUGGUACCGGAGGAUCGCCGCCGGCUCGGGGGUGGGCGCGUACGGCUUCGACAGCAUGGACCAGUGGGGGCGCCCGUACCCUGACCCCCAGAGGUUCCCGUCGGGCCGAGGUGGCGGAGGGUUCAGGCCGAUCGCCGAUAAGGUCCAUGCCAUGGGCCUCAAGUUCGGCAUCCACCUCAUGAACGGGAUCAGCACCCAGGCCGUCAACGCCAACAUGCCCAUCCUCGACGUCCGCACGGUACUCCUCUCCAUCUUGAUUCCUUUUUUUUUCUUUUUUUGUUACUUUUGGAGUAGUAGCUGGUUUUGUCUUCAGGUUUGGGUUGCUUACCACAUGUUCCACGUGGUCUUCCAGAAUAGCUGAACUUUGCUUCGUCUUGAAGUUUUUUGUAGUUAUCAUUUUGCAGUAUUUUGGUACGAUCUUUCACGUCCAAAAAUAUAUACAUAUUUUCAUAUGUUGCUAUCUAUCUAUUCUUCAAUUCUAUCAUCAUCUUCUUUCUAAUUCUAGUAUAUAAGAGUGAAUUUUGGAGAUCCAACGGAUCCCACCCGCUCAUCCACGUCAAUCCAAAAACCUAUGUUGAUUUGAUGUUUAGUGCUAAGCAUGUUUAGCAUGCUCAAUAUUACAUUUACUUCCCCCCAAAAAUAUUAUAGUUAUUUAGUAUUAUUACUAUCCAAUUAUUAUUGUUCAGUAAUUAUUACUAUCCAAUUAUGUCCAUGUAAUAAUAGUUGCUAUCUAAUUAUCUCCAAACAGCACAUAAUCUUGUUAUACCUACCAUAUUUUUGUAGACAAGUAUAUACACAACAGCUAGGAUCAAAUCGUCCUCUUAACUAGAAAGUAAGGUUGGCCUUUCUCAUCAUGAAAGUAGUAGGGUUUUUUUUUUUUUGAAGGGGCAUGACAGUAGUAGUUGCUUGAGCGGAGUAAGUUACCUCGUUACAGCUAUACAAGAAAGAGAUCUUAGUGUGUGUUUUUUUGCAAUUUUUAUUCAGGGAAAAGCCUAUGUAGAGAAUGGCCGACAAUGGAGGGCGCGUGACAUAGGCCUCACCCACAGGACAUGUGCGUGGAUGCCGAAAGGAUUUAUGAGUGUAAAUACGGACCUGGGAGCUGGACGAGCAUUCCUAAGGUCUCUCUAUCGACAGUAUGCCGACUGGGGCGUCGAUUUCGGUAAGCAGAACUUCAUACUAAUUUUCAGUUACAUUAUUCUGAAUUUCAGAAGUGGAUUGCAGUCCUUAGAACUGAAAUCUCAGCAAAUGGUAACAUAAUGCACCAAACUGUUCUGCUUGCAGUGAAGCUAGAUUGCAUCUUCGGCACCGAUUACAGCCCGAAGGAGAUUGUGACCGUCUCAGAGGUAUGAACUAAUGUAGCCCUCCAUUCUAGAAUCAGCUACAUCACAAUUGGCGAUCUGUUGAGAUCAACUCAUGGGAAAUACACAUUGCGUUUUGCAGAUCCUGAAAGAGCUUGAGAGACCAGUCGUCCUAUCCAUCUCCCCCGGAACCGCUGUCACUCCAUCAUUAGCUGAGAAUAUCACACAACAUGUUGACAUGUACAGGGUAACAGGAGAUGACUGGGACAGCUGGAAAGAUGUUCGCCCACAUUUCGAUGUCGCCAGGUAGAUUCCAUUUAAGUAUAAGCUCCUCACACAAUUCUAGAAACAUGGCAACUGCUGCUUGUAGUUUGCAGUACAACCAAUCUACUUUAUCUUCUUUUUCACCGCGCAUAUAAUAUAUAGAUCAUUUGCUGCUGCGAAUAAGAUUGGCGCCCCUGGAUUGCGAGGGAGGUCCUGGCCAGACUUAGACAUGCUUCCAUUUGGCUGGCUUACUGAUGCAGGUGAUCAUCCAUACCAUAACUUCGUGGCACUUUCCUUUUGUAAUGCACGACUCGGUUCUACUUUUCAUGUGCAUCGGUGUGACUAAUCGUUCGAAAAUUUCUGAUAUUUCUCUCAUACAGGUGCUAAUCAGGGACCUCACAGAACCACUAGCCUUACAUUUGAGGAACAAACAACACAGGUUUGCAAUUGAAGAAACUUCAUCUCUGUUUCCAAGUUGGAAGCCGAAGUCUUAAACCUUUGAACACAUUUUUGCAGAUGGUACUUUGGUCAAUGGCUAAAUCACCGCUCAUGUAUGGUGGGGACUUGAGGCGUCUCGACGAUCGCACAUUCAAUCUAAUUACCCACCCUACUCUACUGAAGAUAAAUCACCACACCAGAAACAACAUGGAGGUGAACUAAAUAUUAGUUGGAGUCCGGAGAUUCCUGCUGCAACAUAUACUGCACAACGAGCUAACCUGUGGGUAUUUUUUUUCAGUUUGGUUAUAUUCAUAGUGAAAGGGCUUCAAAGCCAGAUGAACAAUCCGAUCUUUCAAAGUCCGGCUAUCCGAUGGACGUGACAAACAAUGGUGGUAUGGUUCUUGGUCUCAGUACAUGCAGCGAUAAGAGCGCUGGUGGAUGGUACAGUUCCUCAGAAGAUCGCAUUUGCAGAAGCUAUGGAAUCCAGAAUGGCAAUGCCUCGUUUUGCAUAUCCAAAGCAAAACUUCUUCCAACAUCGUAAGUGGCGUGUGACAAAACAAUGUAUUAAAGGAAGCAGUCCUAAUCUUUUGAAUUAUAUGUAUGAUCCACACAUAUUAUUUUUAUGCAGGGAUGGAGUUACCAUGAGCAGCGAGGAAGACCAGGCAAAGUUUCAUCUGGCAGAUAUUGACACCGAUGAUGGUUGCUUGGAUGCAUCUGUGAGUCCAUGGCGAACAAGCUCAGCGAGCCAAACUCCCAUGUUCUCGGCCUGCGAACGACAUACAAAGCAGGUAAGUUCAGCCCACACAUUGAUAUCCUGGUAAGAGAAACGGGAUCCAUGUAGAGUGAGGCUGAAAUGCAGAAAUCUGUGGAGCAUUAUGUGUCAUGAAAUUGCUAUUUAGCUGCCAUAAUAACCAAAAAAUGGACAUUUGAUCAUUUAACUUUGGAAAUGAACUUAAGUCAUGGUUGAUCAUUUUUUGCCGAUAACAAUGGCAGGCCUGGGAGCUAACAGAGAAUGGACAGCUUGUAAGCAGUUACUCAGGAUUGUGUGCUACAAUGCAGUCCAGCAAGGAAGGAGGUACAAGUUAUUCUACACCGAUUCACCAUAAAUUAAUCGCUAUUUUUACCUAAGUAACACUUCUGUUUGACGCGACAGAGAAUGAAACUACCGGAGCACGAGCAUGGACAGCAAUUGGAGACAAAGGUACUUUUAUCUGAGCAGCAUGCUUCUUUGCCAAUGCACACUUGGCGAAUAAGCGUGCCUUUUCUUUGGCUGAUUCUUCUUCUUGCAUGGAAGCAGGAGAGAUCUAUGUGGCCAUCUUCAACCUCGACACUGCAAGGAGGAAGAUCACUGUAAGCGUGCCGGAUCUAGAAAAGGUUGUCCGGAGAAAGUUGGCAAGGUGCAGCUGCACAGAAGUCUGGAGUAGAAAAAGAUGGAGUGUGAUGAAGGGGGGCAUCUCAGCGGUGGUGACCUCACAUGGCUCCAUGUUGUUUGAAAUCCGGUGUUGAGGUCUCUCUAAUAAUGUUCACCUGUUCAACUUGGAAGCAUAGAAUGAUUGGAGUGUAAAUUCUCUAGUUGUUUGUCGAUCCUUUGUAGAACAUACUUCUAAUAAGGUAAGCAUUUUAAUUGAUAUUAGCAACGUGUGUGUGCAGUGCAUGUGUUGACAAAGUAGACUAA